UACCGAUUGAACAUGAGCAGCUCCAGCAGGAGCAGCCGCCCAAAGAGCAGGAUUAGCCGCCUGUGGCACAACAUGAGCUUUAAUAUUCACAAAUGGCUGGAGCCUGCUCAAAUCCACAUCUAUGAGUAAAAUAACUCUUCGCCAGAAGCAUAGCCCUAUUGGAAAUUAUCAAAAAUAUCUCUAUCCCGAGGAUAAUGGGAAGGCUUGUAUGGAACUUUUGAAUUUCCCUCUUCCUACUUUUUGCGAUUGACUAUCAUUAUUGCUAAACAUGAGGGGGGGAUUUGGUAUACUGCCUCAUGAUCACCCUAUCCACUUGAAAUGGAUUUUCUAUUCAUUUCCCAUGAUGGUUUUGAUAUCUCGAUUGUUUCAACAAGAAUAUAUUCAUUCGGUAAAGCUUUGUGAAACAUUAGCGAUGGAGCUAGGUCUCGGGUCAUGUGAAAAGACAGUAGGUCAAGAAGUGUGUUAGCUCAUGAGAUAAUAUAUUUUUGAAGUUGUUCAUCAUGUGUGUUGACACAAUGGGUCGUACGAGAGAAGGUUGGCAUGAAUCUUUGGGUUUGAAAUGAGUUGUCUAAUUGGACCUUCAUGACUGAAAAAAGGGAGAAAACAUGGCUAAUAGGAGGCGCAAAUGAUAUGGAAGCUACUUUUUGGAUGGAAGUUAACUAUGGCUAUGCGACCACACAAGAUGUCAGUGGAACCGCGUCCUUACAUAUCGAGGUUGACUUCAUGUGCAAGCUGUAUUGUGACUAAAUUAUGGUAUAUGUAUGCAAUAACUUGGCAUCUUACCAAACACAAAACACCCCAAAAAAUACUAUUUACUUCUCUUCGAUGCAUAUUCUAGUGGAAGGGUAGUCAUAACCAUAUGGGGAUAUUUUUGCACAGUAGAAUCUAUAAUGGUCUAGUGAGGAAAGGUGUAAAUGGAGAGGAUAAUAGGCGAACAUGGAAACAUCCAACAUUGUGUUGUACUUGUAUCUAGUUGUAUAGUGAGAUAAUAUGGAAACGGAGGAGGCUCAUAGGGCAACACGAGAACACCCAACAUGUUGCUCUACUUCCUUCCUAUUGGUACCAAGAGACUGAGACUAGAGAAAGGUUAAUCAUAACACAUGGACAAGAUCUCUUAUACAAGUUGAAAAUGGACCGAAUCUUGUAUGAAAAUGCUAACCAAGUAUGAGUGUGCAUAACAUACCAUUUCCUCCCUUUCUUUGUUGUAUUUUCCUUCACCAACCCCAUAGUACCCUAAUCGACACUAUUAAUUCGAUAUGCUUCUCAUCUGAGUUAGGUAGACUUAUUCAAGGGGAGGAAAUGGAGGUGUCUUAUCUAAAAUAGCCACAUUCCGGAUAGGAAUAAAAAAGUAGACAUAACCUAAUGAUUUGUUGAGAUUUGAAUCGAGAAUUCAACAUACAUCAACUAUCCUACAUGUAAAUCAAAUCCUCAUCCUACAUCGGCAUUGGGCUUUAGUUGGACUACCACUUUAUGGACAAGCCGUAUGGUCCAUGUGGUCUACGUCACAAGGCCGGAGAACAAGGAGCAAAUAGUUGUGGAUGUUUGGUAAUUGAAGUUAUUUGUCAAGAAAUUUGUUUCCCGUCAUGGUUUUUUUAAUUCAUUAUUUAGUAUUUGGUAUCGGUUCUAUGCUCUAAUGUGUAACCUUCUUCUGAUGGUUUGGGUUUAGCUGUCGGUGGUCAUGAGUUCAUUACUUAUGUUAACUACUAUUGUUGUGUCCACUUGUUCGCCAAGAGACUAUAAAGUUAACUUAUAUCCUCCCGUAUCUCUGUUAAUAUAGUUGGCGGUGAGGUAAUCAUUAACCCUGAAUAUUACUCACCUUUGUCAAAUAGUAGGCCAAGCUGGAACUGUCUGGUGCAUCAUCUAUGGUCACAUAUGGUGUAUUGCCUAUUCUAAACUCAAUGAGUAUUACAUAAUGGCAUGUGCUUGCAGGGAGGAAUGAGUCACUCUUUUGUGUCAAGGGGAGACGGCAUGCGUAAUAAUUGACAAUGAAAAAUUAACAACCUACAUCAAAAGUCUAACCCAAGACAAUGAAUAUGUGCCAUUGUAAUUUUACCACACUAAGUCAUCGGUAUUUCAUAAUCGAAUGUUCCCGAUGUCGUGACUUUUGGCGGUGAUAAGCCCAAAUAAUCGCCAUUGUGAAAUUAAAUUCUUCCGUUCACUUGAACCCACAUCCGUAAAGAUGUGCCAUUACAAUCCACGUCAUGGCUAUCUUGGAGUCCUUAAUAUAAUCAAGUGUGCCAAAUAUGGUGACUUGAUAAUCACGUAUACUAAUGGGGAGGAGCGAGGUCACAUUUUUUGCCAUGCAGACAUGAUAUUCCGUACUAAUUGACCCUAGGAAGCUAAUCGCCUCCAUCAAGUAGACCCCUUCCUGGUUCUCCUAUAUCUGGAUUCCCCGAAACCACGAAAAUCCUUAGAAUUGGAUUACAACUUAGCACCUUGUGUUUUCACAUAGUAAGAAGAUUUGCUCCUUGGAGAGCACGGUAUGAUGAAAGUUGUAACCUGUGUUUCCGAGGGAGUUAUUGUCUCGCAACUUUGUUAUCAACUAUUCCGAUUCCAGCAAACGGAGGCCAUUGGGUCAAAGCCAUAGCGCACGCCUUGUAGUUUUGAAGUGGGGCGAGACAACUUUAGCUAGGAACCUAUUUUCCUUCUGACCAACUCCCUAAAAACAAUGUUCGACUUCAUGUGUAGUCGGUGUAGAUGUGUCAUUGCAAUUCCACCACUAGGAUAUCACCAUGUCCUAUGUAUUACAUGCCAACAUAUGCCACCAUAUGGUGACUUGAUAAAUUAAAUGCAUUUCACCAAGCUUUUCUGUUCCAAUUAUGGUGAAGAUAGUGACUCACAUGUCAGCCUCCCUAACGGGAAGCAAAAUCACUCUGACUUUGGCAACCUAAUUUUUUUAUGGAUUCAAGCAAGCAUGUUGGAUUUGUGUAUUGUUUAUUUCCACAUAUAUGAUUCAAAAUAAAGGAAUCAAUUCAGAAUAGGAGUCUUGGAGACACCCAUGUCAAUAAUGUGAAAUUAUGGGAAAUCUUAUUAUGUGCAUCAAAAUAGGCCAAAACUCCUGGCUUAAGAGAUACGUGUACAAUCAUACAAUGGUUAUGACCCCUACUAAAUUCAUGAUGUUAACCAGUUCCCAGAAGUUUAAGUUGAGAAACAAGUUUGGGCAACAUAUUUCCAGACACCUGUCAUGUCUAGGAUUGUCUGAAGCCUAGGUAAGAUUAGUUAUGGGAUCAAUGCAGGCUAUUAGUACAUUGACUCGGUUCUUAACUCAAGUCCUCCUUGCUUGAUACCAUAUUGAAUGGCAAGUACAUCAUCAAUUUACUUAAGUGGGUGAACAAUGUUGGCUAGUAUAUUCCAACACUCACCUCACAUGCAUUUUUUAGGGGCAUAUAAUGCAUCGUGAUGGAUACAUUCUUUCUAAAGACUAAAUUCCAAUGGAAAAUUCAAAUUAAUUUAGUAGCAAUCUCGUAUGGCAAGGGUAUAUGGUAAAUGAAAAGGAGGGCUCAAAUGCUACUUGUUGGCACACACAAGUCAAGUUGUCUUUUAGCUCCCAUGUUGAUCCUCCAUGGUUCGACAUUGGGCAUUACACAGAGAACGAGUUAUCUUUACGCACUAACUAGAGCUACCAGACCAUGGAUGUUCCACCGUGAAUGUCCAUAUGGUGCAAUGAGUGAUAGCGGGGUAUAUUAGAACAUACAGUAUACACCGUUAAAGUAAUUAAAUGUGCUACUUUGCCUACUAUGACAAAAUAGUAUUUUUAAGAGAAAACUACGCAAGAGUUUGUGAUCUUUGUAUGUAAAAGCAUUAUUUGCCUUUGCUUGGUGUUCACGCAGUUUGAUUUAUGGCAAAAAUGGAAAAUCAUGGGACAAUAAUUGUUGAUAUUCUUUGUGGGAAAGCUAGAACUUUUCACUUUUCAGAUCACGCAAAGUAUUGUUUUCUUAUAGGGGUGAUAUACAGGGUUCUAAAUCUGCAUUUGUGAUUUGUUGUCCAUUUAAAUUUGUUUCUUCCAUAGAUUAUGUUGGUUUGUUGCUGUAUUUAUCUCAGCACUGAAGUAUACUGAUGUUAGCUAAGUCCAAUCAAAGGCCGAUGUUUCUAUCAUGUUAUACAAAUUAGUAAGCUAAGUACUGACCAAACUCAAGUUACAGAAGCCCAGACUACGUGAAAUGCACAUCAUGCAGUACACAUGUUCAUCUUAGUGUUAUGUUAUACUUGGCUCCCAGAUAACAAAUGGUGUCAGUUACUACUAUCUUUUGCAGCUUGUUUCUGCCUGUUCAUCGUAGAAUUAUCUUAUGUAGUCUCCCAAGGUUCAUGCAACUUGGAUUUUCAUACAUUGGUAGCAUUAGUGUUCACUGGGACUAGAUGCCACUCUGUAGAAGCUGGGGAUACAGAUGGAGAAAGUAGUCAUGGUUUUUUUUUCAAAAAGUUUGUUCAUAUCUAUAACAGGUUUAUUAAUUUUUAGCGUACAGUGUUGUGAAACCUAGAGUGUUUUAUCUCAUUAAACAUUGAACUACGCUUUCAAGGGAAAAACCUUCAUUUGACAUCGAACUAUGCAUGCAGGGCAAACACUCCGUGCAUCGGUGCCACCGCGCCGCGAACCUUGGGAGCUUGAACCUGGAUGGGUGUGAACUUAUGUUGUCAAGGUUUAGGGUCAGUCUUGGAUAGAGAAUAAAGGGGACUUUGCGAAACUGUUAUUAAUAAUAUGUAUGAAACAUUGCCUUGGGGAGAGAAUAAGAGAUUUCGAGAGAUAUUUACAAAUGGAUGCAUGCUUGCAAUAGCAGUACAAAAUAUGAUGCUAACAUUUUAUUUUCAUUGUUCUUCCCAUUAAACUUCUCGUGGUGGCUCCAUUAUUCACAGCCUCGCACAUGAAAAUGUUAUUUCGUUCGGGUAAAUGUUGCGUGUCGCUGCUCUUGUAGUUUUGCGGUUUGCAUCUGCUUGAAACUUGUGAGUUGGAUUUUGCGAAGUUGCAAUGCAAAUUUGGGAUGCAGGGAAGAUAAUAAACAAUGCUUUCUAAGAGCAUUGGAUAUUGGAUGCGAUUCAGAUAGCACGCAUGCAAAUGCAAGAUGCAAGACGUUGUAGGCACAUGUCCAGGUUUAUUAAGAGAAUCUACAACCGAGAUGCCUCAUAUCCGCCCCAAACACCAGGGCGAGCUGUCCGGUCGGUACUAGGACGCAAAAUUGCCACCCAACUAGACCUGCCAAAUCCGGCCCAAACGUCUAGACUGACAUGCACUCCCCAUAUCAGGCCCAUAUCUCGAAUGGAUAUGUGGAAGCCUAGAGGCGCCAGGUAGGAUACGGCCGACUGCGGCCCACCCGGCCCCACAUAAAUUGGACCCUAUCCGCACUCCAAGCGAAACCCUAGCCGCAGUCUGUCUGGCGUCCGAACGUCAUGGAGGAUCCGCAACCACUUUGUUGGCGCACCGAGACAGAGGUGCACAACCGCUUAACGUCUGAUACAAAUACGGUGCAGCGCGUCCAGCGUGUUAGGCAACAGGCACGGGAGCCCGCGGCAGCGCUCGUGCCACACGCCGGUGGGGCGGACUCCACUCUUCGGCGCGUCGUAUCAUGCCCGGCAGCCCUCGGCGCCAAAAUCUUGUCGUGUUGGACGUGGCCGGCUCCACCAUGAUGGAUCAAUCAUCGACCUCACAUCCACCGAUGACAGGCAUGGCACGGGCUCCGACGAGAAAGAGUAGGCCAUAGGAGACGGAGCCAACUCAAGUUUCUUUAGCUGGGUCGUGUCCCAUGUCCUACUCUACCUCACCGGAGACCGACCCUCCACUUCGACAGGCUCAAACAGCCAUCGGACAAGGACAGGGCCGGAACAACAGGGACAACCACUGGCGCAAAUUUAGACUACAACCGUCGACCUGAGGUGAGCGCGGCACGAGUUAAUCACUGAAGAGGCUAGGCCCCUCUGUCGCCGGUGGUCGUGCAGUUGCCGACGCAGUCGUCCAUGACCACCACCAGAUCGACGCCACCGCCACUGCAAGUCUAGGCGUCUCUGUAGUGGUUGAUGUCAUUUUAGUGUAUUUUCUUUGUGUUAUGAUGAUUGCAUACUGAGUUGCGUAUUGUGGUGAAGAAUAAAUUUAGACCCGCCACUACAAAACAAUUGCCAGUACUGGGCACAUAUUUUUGCCUGCCAUUUAUAGUAAUGUCCGCCACUGCAACGAGAUCGACGUCGAUGGCGGGCUGUUUGUAACGCCCGCCACCGUUAUAGUCAUCUAUCGCAGGUGGAGCGCCCGCCGCUGAUGCCAUGUUGCCAGUGGCGGGCGCCUCUGAGAGCCACACCCGUCAUUGCUGGGCUUUUGACGCCCGCCACUGCUAAGCAUUCAUGCGAUAGUGUGCAAUUGCGUAUCUAGUAGAACAUAUGCAACUAUCCUGCCAACAAACAGUUUCGCCCUACCAUGAAGUUAUAGUCGCGUUGAAGACAUUCAUUUAUAAUCGGAAGUGACGUUGCAGUUGCAUAUCAAGUAGGAGACAUUUAACUGCCCUAAUGACAAAACACUUUUGUUCCCUAAGUUACAGUCGCGUUGGAGACAUGCAUUAGCGAAACGACACCACCUGUAGUUGCGUGUUUGGAGUUAGACAUGCAAAUAGCUCCAUAAUAAUAAAACUCUGAAUUUUAAUUUUUAAUGAAUUUUAAGUAAAAUAAAAAAUAAAAGAUGAAGAUAAAAACAGAAAUAGAGCAAACAAACAAUAGGAAAACCCCUAAAAAGGAAAAAACAAAGAAAGGAAAAACCUGUUUGAAGUUUCUAGAAGCUUCAUAAAACCAAUAGAAAGAGUCCUACAUGGGCCGGCCCACUCACACAUGUAAACAGAGGCGGGCGAGGCGUAUGUCGACUAGCUAACAGUUGGGGAAUCAUAUUCCGUGCAUAGGUCGCUACGUAGCAACCUAGCGCGUGCCCCCUCGGGUUUGUGGUCCUCUUCGGGUCGGUCCAUUCCAGGUUCUUCCCCAUAACGGUUUUUGGGAAGGUUCUAAACCUUUUUUUUUCUAUUUUCAUUGUUUUUCUUCUAGUUUUUUCUUUCUUUUAUAUUUUAUAUUUUACUUUCUUUUUUCUUUUCCUUUUUAGUGUUGCAAACACAUUUCAAAUUCUUAAACAUUUAUUGAAAUCAGGAACAUUUUUUUGAAUUGACAUGCAUAUUUCUGAAAUAAUGAACAUUUUUUAAUUUGUCAAUAUAUUUUGAAUUCACAAAAUCACAAAAAAAUUAACUUUUGAGGACAUUUUUUCAAAAUUCUGAACAUUCUUGUUAAUCGACAGACAUUUUUUAAUCAAUGAAAAUUUCAAUGAAUUGACAUGAUUUUUUUUGAAUUGGCGAACAUUUUUUGAAUCGAUGACCAUUUUUUGAUUCAAUGAAUAUUUUUUACAUCAAUGAAAUUUUUUUAAAAUUCACAAUAAAUUUUUUUGUGGACAUUUAGAAAACUUCGUGAAUUUUUUUUUGAAUUCAGAUAAUUUGGUUAAAAUUCACGAACAUUUUUGCAAUAUGCGACCAUUUUUCAAAAUCAUAAACAUUUUUAAUACAUGAUUUUUUUAUGAUUUCAGGAACAUUUUCCAAUGUUCAGGUUUUAAAAAAAAUUAGAAGUUUUUUGAAAUCCUGAAUUAUUUUAAUGAUGAAAGAUAAAAACAUAAAAAACAAAAGGUAAAAAAAGCAUUAAAAACUAAAUGAAAAAUCAAUAGGGGCUUCCCGACCUGCUCAACUUUCGGACGAAUAGGCGCGUGCGGGAGGACUUGCAUGCUGCCUCGUUCACUUGCAUGUCACGCGUGGGAUAGGAGGUCCCCUCAUUGUUUAGUCAAAGCUAGUUUAUCUCUUGUAGUGGGGCGCCACCUGUGGCUUUUACAAUCCCUAGAUAUUGCUUCUAUCUCAGCUUCGGUCCUCAUUAAUUAAAUAAAGUGAUGAUACUCCUCAAAAGAAAAUAGCUACAGUUGGCACAAAAUUUACUGCAAAUUAAUCAUGUGAUGAAAGACUUAGACGUGACAUAGUUUUUUUAUGGACCCUGAUAAGUGCCACAUGUCAGGGACGACCACAUGACAACUCUGAACAUCUUUUAUGGCAAGUUUAGUUACACGAGGAUGGCAAAUUAAUUGACGCUUCAUUCUAUUUUGAUAGAAACUUAUCGUGCGUCGCUGGAAUUUGGCAUCCUUGCGUGACAAGAAUUGCCAUCGAAAAACGUCAGGCCCAAAGUGCCAAGCACCUGACGUGUAAGACUUAUCAUUUGGAUAUUUUAUAUCUAAGAUAUUAUUUACCAAUACCAUAGCUGAGACAUCUGCCCCAAUGAAGGCGGGGCUGAUGAAAAGUCAAACCCCUCGCCAGCCAGUCAAAAGGUGUACACGGUCCCCCUGCCGCCUCUAGGGAAAUAGCGCUCGUACGAACGGUAUCCAGUCGCGUCAGGAACGACAUCUAGUCAAAAUGGGAAGGACUAUCUAUUAUCGAAGAAGUCUACCGCUCUGGAGCUAUCAAAAUAAAUAAUGCCGAAGGUACUAACCCAAAGGUUGUCAAUGGGAAAAGAAUCAAACACUAUAUCUCAGGUACGCCUAUUAAUGUUGAAAGCAAUAUUAUCCAAACUAUGACACCGGAGGAACACAUAAAACAAACCUUCUGGAACACUGCAGAAUCGUGAAUAAAAGGAGGUAUGUGCUACGGUAAGUAAACGGACUACGAAAAAUACACACAAAAAAUUUGUCUGUUUUGGAAUAUUACAAAAGUUAGGAAAAUAAUAAACAACCCAGAAGGCAGGCGAGGAGGGCACAAGGCACCAUGGCGCGCCCAGGUGGGUUGUGCCCACCUCGGGUACCUUCCGGACUCCGUUUUUCUCCCAUUUGCUUGUUUCUCAAUAUAAUAAUUCUUUAUAUACCCUCCGAACCUAUUGACCACAGUAUCGCGGAGAAAUCUUCUGUUCUCUUUUCUUGCUGUUUUCUGUUAGAUCUGUCAAACCAGGCAUCAUGUCUUGUCCCUCCUCCAACAACGUAGAAGAGGAUGCUUGGUUGAUGAAGAUGGAAUUGAAGAGAGAAGAACAAAAAGAAGCCUUCAAGGGGGACAAGAGCAAGGUAGCUGAUGAAGAUCAAGCUCCAGCAGUAGAGCAGGCCUUGCCUACGGAAGAAGAAGAAGAAGAAGGUAUCCUUCAACCAUACUAUGAAUAUCUUACCCUCACUGAAAUUUAAGCUUUUAGGACAAUUGAAAUAGUUUGUGUUGAAAACAAAUAUCUGACUUGUGAAAAUAUUCUAUUGCAAGAGCACAUCAUCGCCGUCUGGAGCGUCGUCCGGAGAUUGGAGUAUCUUUUGAGCCCAAGGAUAAGCUCGCUACUACCUCGUCACCACCACCAUCACCUUCUUCAUCACCAAAGGAGACUUGAGUAUCGGGUAUGGGCACUCCCCUUGGCUUGUGCCAAGCUUGUCGGAAGUGCCCCAGUAUCGUAUCACACCACCCUUUUUGCUCUUAUUUAUCUUAGUUCGAUCUUUAGUUAUCUUUUGAAUUAGUUGAAUAAAAGUUUAGUUCGAUCCUUUUCGAGUGUUUUUGCUAAGUGAUCUAUCUAUCUUUGUAAUCGUGUGCGAGAUAUAUAAUAAAGUUUAGUUCGAGUUUUGUUUUCUUUACCUUUUUGUUUCAUAAGGGGCAAUACAACGUGUCGUUCUUUUUCACUAGGAGAUUGAUCGUACAAACCAAAAGGCGCAUGAAAACAUCUGCUUCCCUCUGCAAAGGGCCUAUCUUUUACUUUCAUGUAUUUACUUUUAUUCAAGAGCCAAAUUAUUCUUCUCUAUUCCUUUUAUUUUCUCUUUUCCAAGCAUCAUGUGGUGAGGAAAGAUCUAGGCACAUAUAUCCAGUUGGAUAUGGGUGAGCAUCAUGUGGUAAGGAAAGAUCUAGGCACAUAUACUAUUUGGGCUUGCCCAAUAAGAAAAAAGAUCAUCACCUAAAAAAUGUCAUCUCAAAACUAUAUAUUUCAAGUCUAAAACUAAAAAGGAAAAAAAAUUAAACAAAAGUAAACUAUAAUAUACUAUUAAAAAGAUCACCACAUAAAAAACUAAAAAGAAAAAAAAAUUGGAAGUGCCAAACUACAUGUUUGAAGGCUCAAAACUAUAUAUUUCAAGUCCUAAACUAAAAAGGAAAAAAAAAGUAAAUUUAAAGUCCCAAACUACAUAUUUUUAAAAAUGUCAUUAUUUCCAUUUAAAAUAAUAGUAAUUUAAUAAAAGUAAACUAUAAUAUAGUAAAAAAUGACCACCACAUAAAAAACUAAAAAUAAAAAAAAUUGGAAGUGUGAAACUACAUAUUUGGCGGCUCAAAAACUAUAUGUUUCAAGUCUGAAACUAAAAAGGAAAAAAAGUCUCAAAGUACAUAUUUUAAAAAAUGUCAUUAUUUUGUAUUUAAAAUAAUAGAAAAUUAAUAAAAGUAAACUAUAAUAUACUAUAAAAAGGAAUAUACCAAAAAAAGUAAUAUAAGAAUGUUGGUACUGACAAAACAACAGUACUGGCGUCGGUUACAACAGCACGUCACAACUAAAUAUAAUAGUGUUGGCGUUCCAUGCUAUUCCACGACAGCAAUAUAUUACGCCUGAAUCAAAUUGUUGAUCCCAUAUAUUUUUGACGUUACCCUGUUUCCAACGCCACCACUAUGCCCCUACUAAUGUCGUACCACAUAAGCCAACGUCAUCACUAUGUGAAAAAAAUAGUGGUGGCGUUGGUUGUAAAUGGCGUGCUACCAACGAAAGUUGUGGCUAGCCCCCUUUUUCCACUAGUGAAGAUUAAUGGAGGCUGUUAGAUAAUGUUUAUAGGUAGCUUCUGUGUAGACUCUAUAUAUUGUAUUUGUACACUUCGUAUACCCUUAUAUAUACGAGAUAGCCACACCCAUAUUUGGUGUUGUGCAGUUUCCCACAAACAUAAUAUUUUACAGUCUUGAGAGGCCAUCCAAGGGAGUCCGUUGUAGGCUCAUGCCAUUUUUACCCUGUCUAACUAGACCUAAAGUGGCGAAGUUACUAGCAUGUCGCCAUGUCCUUGCACUAGAGAAGGAAGUUGGAGUCUAGACGAUCGUCUUGGAGACGGACUGCAAGAUGGUUGCGAGCAAGCUCAACUCUGAAGGGAAGGACGGAUCACCCCAUGGUCCGGCGGUUGAAGAUGUGAAGGGAAUGCUCCAAACUUUUAUUGAGUCCAAGAUCACUUGGGUUCAUAGAGAGAUGAAUUGUAUUGCCUUCAUCUUAGAUAAUGAACAUUGUCGGAAUGAGUUGUGAAAAACAUGGCUUGGUGUGCCUCCAAAUUGUACUAGCGCCGUUUGAACUCUGGCAUUGCCGAGAACUCUGUAUACAACGGCAACCAUUCUAUCUAAAAAAUGAUUCCUUACAGGUAUCUUUUGCCUUAUCAAUAAAUCGAGUAUAAAAAAUUCAGUUUAAAUUUGAAGCAAGGUGAUUACCAACAUACUUAUUUUAUUCCUUAUCUAUAUCUUGAUGCAUGGCUAUAAUAAGAUGAUAUAUUUUUUGUCAAAAAGUUGCUAGUAUUAAUUUUAAUUGACUAGGGAACUAAAUCAUAACUACUACUACCUUUUUCCUGAUUUAUUAGGGCUCCUUGUAGUUUGGGUCAAACUUUGACAGUUGUUUUAACUAUUAAAAAAUAAGUUAUAUACUCUAAGAAUAGUAUCAUCGAAAUCCUCUUUCAAAUAUGAACCAAACAAUAUAAGUUUUGUGACAUACAACUUAUAAUUUGUUAGUCAAAUAUACUAUCAAAGUUGGACACAAAAUACGAAAGGGACAAAUAAACCCGGACGGAGGUAGUAAUAGUAUUCCCUCCGGAACAAAUAAAUGCACUACCAAAUAGUAAGUAUAUAUUUGUUUCUAAAUAUAAGAAUAUUACUAUUANNNNNNNNNNNNNNNNNNNNNNNNNNNNNNNNNNNNNNNNNNNNNNNNNNNNNNNNNNNNNNNNNNNNNNNNNNNNNNNNNNNNNNNNNNNNNNNNNNNNNNNNNNNNNNNNNNNNNNNNNNNNNNNNNNNNNNNNNNNNNNNNNNNNNNNNNNNNNNNNNNNNNNNNNNNNNNNNNNNNNNNNNNNNNNNNNNNNNNNNNNNNNNNNNNNNNNNNNNNNNNNNNNNNNNNNNNNNNNNNNNNNNNNNNNNNNNNNNNNNNNNNNNNNNNNNNNNNNNNNNNNNNNNNNNNNNNNNNNNNNNNNNNNNNNNNNNNNNNNNNNNNNNNNNNNNNNNNNNNNNNNNNNNNNNNNNNNNNNNNNNNNNNNNNNNNNNNNNNNNNNNNNNNNNNNNNNNNNNNNNNNNNNNNNNNNNNNNNNNNNNNNNNNNNNNNNNNNNNNNNNNNNNNNNNNNNNNNNNNNNNNNNNNNNNNNNNNNNNNNNNNNNNNNNNNNNNNNNNNNNNNNNNNNNNNNNNNNNNNNNNNNNNNNNNNNNNNNNNNNNNNNNNNNNNNNNNNNNNNNNNNNNNNNNNNNNNNNNNNNNNNNNNNNNNNNNNNNNNNNNNNNNNNNNNNNNNNNNNNNNNNNNNNNNNNNNNNNNNNNNNNNNNNNNNNNNNNNNNNNNNNNNNNNNNNNNNNNNNNNNNNNNNNNNNNNNNNNNNNNNNNNNNNNNNNNNNNNNNNNNNNNNNNNNNNNNNNNNNNNNNNNNNNNNNNNNNNNNNNNNNNNNNNNNNNNNNNNNACAGAGAUAAUAGUAUUUAAUAGUAGUAUAUCAUUGUUCCUAAAUAUAAGUAUAUUUCUAUUAAAUACUAGUAUACCAGAUAUAUAUCUAAUUGUAUACCAAAGAUAUACCAAAAUGUAAGAAUAUUUAAUAGAAAUAUACCAAAGAUAUGCUACUAUUAAAUGCUGGUUUUAAAUAAAUAAAUCUGUAGUUCAACACGCGGUCCCCACCUUGGCCCAUGCCUUCGGUUUUAGUUCAUGAAGGGCAACACAUGCUUCUGCUCCUCGCUCACGUUCUUCUCAUCCGGCUCUCCUCGACCCACUCCGCGCGUCUGCUCGACCGAUCCACCGCGAUGUCUAGCUCCAGCGUCACCGCCAUACCCCCAGCCAACCACGAGGAGCAGAGCCUGGCGCGCCCGCCCUGCCCCCUUUGGCCUCCGUCGCCCUAGGGAAAGGGAAGGUGUUUGCGCAACAGGCGCCUGCGCCGGUGGUUCGCGAGCGCAAGUCCGGGAGAGACCGGCAGAAAAGCCCGCCCCCAGCGGCCACCAAAGAGGAGCUGGAAUACCGGGAGUCCCGGGAAGGCCCUUUGAAGGUGCUUGCCCUCCCGGCAUCAGGGGCCCCGCAUACUCACUCUGUCUCCGGCGACAAGAUGAUGAGACGCGCUCGUGCCCCCACACUGCAUGCAAACGCUGUCUCCGACGACAAGAUGGUGAGCCGUGCUCGCGCCCCCACACUACAUGCAAACCCUGUCUCCGAUGACAAGAUGGUGAGCCGCACUUGCUUCCCCCUCUCCUACUAGUGAUUUGAAGUUAACCGGUGCCUAAUGAUUUGAAGUUACUGAAAAUCUUUAAUCUAGUCAUGUGAAUUAGUACUAGCGCUUACUGAAUUACCUGAUGUGUAUGUGCAAGAAAUUUCAUGGUGUCUAUAUGUCCUUGGACUUCCUAAUCGCUGCGGUGUCUUGUGGCAGAUGGACGGGAAUGAGAUGGCGCCGGUCCAGGGGGUGCCGCCCAUGCGGGGGAGCAUCGCGGCUUCAAGCUCGGUUGGUAAGUACUCCAUACUGGUUUUUCUCUCAGUAUCACGGUUGUUUUUUUUGUCAUCAUUAGUAUAAUGAUAUUGGACUCUUUCGCAAAAAUUAAUAAUAAUGAUAUUGGACUAAAGUUGGUUAGCUCUUUCAUGCUGGAUUUUUGGCAUCAUUAGUAUACUGAUAUUGGACUGAAGCUGGUUAGCUCUUUCCAUGCUAGAUUUUUGGCAUCAUUAGUAUAUUGAUAUUGGACUGAAGCUUGUUAGCUCUGUCCAUGCUCGGUUUUUUGUCAUCAUUAGUAUAGUGAUAUAUUGGACUGAAGCUGCACAUGUUUUGUUUCCAUUAACGUUGGUCUAGCAGUGCUACGGGCCAGUCGACCUAUCGUGACCGCCAUACAUGCCUGAUUUUAAUCAAGUUCCUCCCAGUUGGUUUUGUCACUAGCUGCGUAUACAAACGCGAGCACGGUCACUGUGUUGCAGCAUGGAAGACAUAUGAACUGUGAUAAGAAACAUGCAAUGGCUAGAAACAUCUCCGUACAAUUUUUUUGGCACGUUAUAGGUGUCAACAAAAUUAGUCAGCUUGCCAGCCGUCGGAUCUGACACGUGGAGCAUUGGAUCACACCACACAGCAGCAGAGAGAGUGGAACCCGUCUUCCUCCAUAGCCUCCACAAAACCUAUGUAUCCCCCACCCCUCCCCCAUCGCUGCAACAGACUAUUAUGUCAGCCCCUUGCAGCACCUCACGUCCAUGCUCUGGCGCAUCCCUGAUGUCGCCUGGUAUCCUGCAAGCACUAUUACAGCGCAUCGGCGAGGAACAUUGUCUUACAACCGAGGUAGUUGAUGCGACCACAAUCCUCCUUUGUCGCAUGGUUCGUGGCUUGUGGCACUGGUCAUCGACUAAAACACCCCCCGCGAGAACCUGCGGUUGCACCACUGUGAGCUAUGCAACUUAGGAAAUGUUGCGACAACCCCGUGGGUGGAAAUAGAGCGAAUGGAUAUGGUGAAGAGAGACAAAUACAAGCGAGGGGCAUCUGGCGCUAGAGCGAGCUGACUCAUUUCCUCCUGAAACCAGUCUGUUGGAUAUAAUUCCAUUUUCUUUUUAGAAACCUCAUAACACUGUCGCAACAUGCGAGCAUGCCUAUACAAAAACUGGUAGAUAUAGAACACAUACUCAUUAACUGCAACAAAUCGGAGAAAAACCACAAUGUAUAUACGCCUGAACCGAUGGAUCAUUGCCAUGCAUCUUCCAACUCUUCCUAGGUUAGGCCCACCCGCGAACCGGUCAAUUCUGUCACAGAUCAUUGCCGAAUCAACCACCAACUUGGUUCUUCAUCUCGUCUCCUCUCCCCACCCUUCGCAACAUACACCCAUGUUUCUCAGCAAUAGACCCACUUGGAGGCCACAAUGGUGGCCAUGGUAGGCUAGUGAAAAGCACAAUGGUGGUCGGUCUUACAACACUAAACACAACAUUGCAACAGUGCUUGCUCAUGGUGCUGCAAACACAUACUCUCGUCAGGUGCUAUAAUCAUCUUCUCAUCUGUGCUACAACUACGGCUGGUGUUGCAGGGCGAUUGUCGCAUCAUUGCCAGUUUUGCAGUGGUUGUCGCAACAAUUCCUAAGUUGCAUAGAUCUUAGUGGUGCAACCACAUGUUCUCGCGGGGUGUGUUCUAUCCGACGACCAGUGCCACAAACCACGACCUAGGUGGCAAGGGGUGAGGGUUGUGGUGCCAUCAACUACCUUGGCUGUAAGACAAUGUUGCAAGGAUGAAGCCUCGCUGGUGCAAUGUAAUAACACUUGCGGGAUACACAGGCGACUUUAAGGAUGCUCUAGGGCACCAAUGUCAGGUGUUGUGAGUGGUUGACGAAAUAGUCUGUUGUGAAGAUGGGGGAGUGGUGGGGGAUACACAGGUUUUGUGAAGGCUAUGGAGGAAGACGGGUUCCACUCUCUCUGGUGCCCGUGUGGUGUGAUCAAAUGCUGCACGUGUCAGAUAGACGGUUGGCGAACCGACUAAUUUUGUUGAGACCUAAAACGUGCCAAAAAAUGUACGGAGAUAUUUCUAGCCAUUGCAUGUUUCUUAGAACACUUCAUAUGUCUUCCACGCUGCAACACAUAGUGCCGGAGCUCGCGUUUGUAUACGUGGUUUUUGAUAAAACAAACUAGGUGGAACUUGAUUAAAAUCAGGCGGGUAAGGUGGCCAAGAUCGGCCGACUGACGUGUAGCAUCGUGUGACCAACGUUAACGGAAAGAAAACAUGUGCAACUUCAGUCCAAUAUAUCAAUAUACUAAUGAUGACAAAAAUCAUAGCAUGGACAGAGCUAACAAGCUUGAGACCAAUAUCAGUAUACUAAUGAUGCCAAAAAUCCAGCAUGGAUAGAGCCAACCAGCUUCAGUCAAAUAUCAGUAUACUAAUGAUGCCAAAAAUCCAGCAUGGAAAGAGCUAACCAGCUUCAGUCCAAUAUCAUUAUCUAAUGAUGACAAAAAAACCAGCCGUUAUACUGACAGAAAAACCAGUAUGGAGUACUUACCAACCGAGCUUGAAGCGGCCACGCUCCGCCGCAUGGGCGGCACCCCCUGGACCGGCUUCAUCUCGUUCCCAUCCAUCUGCCACAUGAGGCCGCAUCUAUUAGAAAGUCCAAGGAUAUAUACACAGCAUGUAAUUCUUGCACAUACACAUCAGGUAAUUCAGUAAGCACUAGUACUAAUUCACAGAACAAGAUUAAAGAUUGUCAAUAACUCCAAAUCAUUAGGCACUGUUUAACUUCAAAUCACUACUAGGAGAGGGGGGGAGGAGCGCGGCUCACCAUCUUGUCGCCGGGGACAGCCUUUGCACGCGGGGUGGGGGCGCGAGCACGGCUGACCAUCUUACCGUCAGAGACAGCGUGAGUACGCGGGGCCCCUGGGAGAGCAAGUACCUUCAAGGGUCCUUCCCGGGACUCCUGGAACUCCAGCUCCUCUCUGGUGGCCGCUAGAGGCCGGGAUUUCUGCCGGCGUGUUCUGGACUUGCGCUUGCGAACCACCGGCGCAGAUGUCUAUUGCGCAAGCACCUUCCCUUUCCCUGGGCGACGGCGACCGCAGGGGGCGGGGCGGGGGCCGCGAGGCUCUGCUCCUCGUGGUUGGCGUUGACGCCGGAGCUAGACAUCGCAGUGGAUCGGUCGAGCAGACGUGCGGAGUUGGUCGAGGAGAGCGGGAUGAGAAGAAUGUGAACGAGCAGGACACGAGGAGUAGAAGUGUGUGUUGCCUUUUAUGAACUGAAAUAGAAAGGCAUGGGGCAAGGUGGGGACCGUGUGUGCAUGUACAAAUUUAUUUAUUUAAUACUAGUAUUUAAUAGUAGUAUAUCAUUGGUAUAUUUAUAUUAAAUAUUCUUAUGUUUUUGGGAUAUCUUUGCUAUAAUAUUAAAUAUAUAUUUUCUAUACUAGUAUCUAAUAGUAAUAUUCUUAUAUUUAGGAACAAAGAUAUACUACUAUUAAAUACGAGUAUUAACUCUGUUACCAAAUAUAAGAAUAGAGGUGAUAGUAUUAAAUAGUACUAUUAUUAUAUUUUGGAACAAGGUAAUAGUAUUUUAUUAUUGUAUAUCUUCGGUAUACUAUUAAAUAUAUCUUUGGGAUAUUUAAUAGUAAUAUUCUUAUAUUUAAUUAGGAAGAAAGACAUAUCACUACUAAAUAAUAUUAUCUCUGUUGCUAAAUAUUAUAACAGAAGUAAUAGUAUUUUAUAGUAAUAUUCUGAUAUUUUGGAACGGAGGUAAUAGUAUUUAAUUGUAGAAUAUCUUCGGUAUACUAGUAUUAAAUAUUCUUAUAUAUUAGAUAUAUCUUUGGUACACUAUUAAAUAUAUCUUUGGUAUACUAGUAUUUAAUAGUAAUAUUCUUAUAUUUAGAAACAAAUAUAUACUUACUACUAGUAUUUGGUUGUGCAUUAUUUGUUCCGGAGGGAGUACUAUUAGUAAUCAUGAUUUAGUUCCCUAGUCAAUUAAUAUAUAACAAUUAAUACAAUAUUAGCAAUUUUUUGAAAAAAAAUAUAUCAUCUUAUUGUAGCCAUGCAUUAAGAUAUAUAUACCGAAUAAAAUAAAUACGCUGAUAAUCACCUUGCUCCUAAUUUAAACUCGAUUUAUUGAUAAGGAAAAAGAUACAUGUAAAUAAUCAUUUCUUAGAUAGAAGGUUGCCACUGUAUUCAGAGCUCUCGGCGGUGCGAGAGUUCAAAACGGCGCUAGUAUAAUCCGAAGGCACAUUAAGCCUUGUUUUUCACAAUUCAUGCCGACAACCUUCCUUAGCUAACAUGCAGGCCAUGCAAUUCACCUCUCUACGAACCAAAGUGAUCUUUGACUCAAUAAAAGUUUAGAGCAUGCCGUUCACAUGUUCAACCGCUGGACCAUGGGGUGAGCCGUCCUUCCCUUCAGAGUUGAGCUUGGUCACCACCAUCUUGCAGUCCAUCUCCAAGACGAUCGUCUAGACUCCAACUUCCUUCUCUAGUGCAAGGACAUGGCGACAUGCUAGUAACUCCGCUACUGUAGGUUUAGUUAGAGAGGGUAAAAACGGCAUGAGCCUACAACGAACUCCCUUGGAUGGCCUCUCAGGACCGCCCCUCGUCCUCUGUCUUGAUUCUUGGCACAUACACCGUCAGCAUUGCCCUAGAUCCACCCAUGCUCUAUGUUGAAAACGAGUGUUUUGGCAAUGCUUAACGAUGUAUUGAUCGGUGCAUAGCGCACGUAUACGGAGUACAAGGUGGGCCACAACCUCAACUAUACAAUGACUAGGAGGUGGGCCGGGCUAUACAAUAUACAUGCACAAACCAUAUAUUCAACACCCCCCCGCAGUCGAAGCGUCGCCGGAGACGCAAAGACUGGACCUAAACUCCUCGAAAACAGAAGUAGGCAGUCCUUUUGUCAUGACAUCGGCGAACUGUUGCGCCGUCGGGACGUGGAGGACCCGGAUGCGCCCAAGAGCCACCUGCUCACGAACAAAGUGUAUGUCGAGCUCAAUAUGCUUCGUUCGUCGAUGGUGGACCAGGUUGGCGGAGAGGUACACGGCGGAGACGUUGUCGCAGUAGACGAGCGUGGCCUUGUGGACAUCACAAAGCAACUCCAGGAGCAGCUGACGGAGCCAAGAGCAUUCGGCAACGGCGUUAGCCACUGCCCGAUACUCUGCCUCGGCACUCGAGCGGGAGACGGUGGGCUAUCGCUUGGAGGACCAAGAGAUCAGAGACGACCCAAGGUAGACACAGUACCCCGAAGUGGAGCGCCGUGUAUCCGGGCAGCCAGCCCAGUCCGCAUCAAAGUAGGCGACGAGGUCGGUGGAGGCGGAGGCCGUCAGUGUAAGUCCCAUGGACGGGGUGCCAUAUAUGUAACGGAGGAUACGCUUCACCAAGGUCCAGUGAGAGUCACGCGGAGCAUGCAUGUGAAGACAGACCUGCUGAACAGCAUACUGCAAGUCGGGGCGCGUCAGGGUCAGGUACUGCAAAGCACCCACAAUGGAGCGAUAGAAGGCCGCAUCGGAUGUGGGAGAACCCUCCAGAGCGGAAACCUUGGCCUUGGUGUCGACGUGCGUGGGAGCGGGCUUGCAGUUAAGCAUGCCGGCUCGAUCGAGAAGCUCAUGGGCGUAGCGCUGCUGGUGCAGGAAGAACCCAUUUGGCCGUCGAACUACCUCAAUGCCAAGGAAGUAGUGCAGGGGCCCCAAGUCCUUCAGGGCAAACUCAUCGUGAAGACGAGCAGUGAGCCGCUGGAGGAGCGCGACAGUGGAUGCCGUCAGGAUGAUGUUGUCGACAUAGAGCAACAAGUAGGCCGUGUCAACCCCGUGAUGGUACACGAAGAGGGACGCAUCGGAGCGAGUCGAUGUAAAUCCGAGCGUCUGCAGGAAUGCAGCAAUGCGCUGGUACCAGGCCCGAGCCGCCUGCUUCAACCCGUAAAGGGAACGGGAGAGCAAGCACACAUGGUCUGGAUGCGUGGCGUCGACGAAGCCGGUGGGCUGCUCACAGAACACCUGCUCAGCGAGGUGGUCGUGCAAGAAGGCGUUGGAGACAUCCAACUGAUGCACAGGCCAAGCUCGGGAGACCGCUAGCUGAAGCACGGUGCGGAUCGUGUCCGGUUUAACAACCGGGGCAAAAGUGUCGGUGAAGUCCACGCCCGCACGUUGCCGAAAGCCCCGAACCACCCAGCAAGCUUUGUAGCGCUCGAGAGUGCCAUCCGGACGAGUCUUGUGCCGAAAGACCCACUUGCCCGUGAUGAUGUUGGCACGAGGCAGCCGAGGGACAAGCUGCCAGGUGUGGUUCCGUUGGAGCGCGUCGAACUCUUCCUGCAUCGCAGCGAGCCAAUGAGGAUCCCGAAGGGCGGCUCGAGCUGACGAUGGGAGAGGGGACGGCUCGGGGACGGAAGCAGCGAGAAGGUACUCAUCGCUGGUGUACAGCGUACUCGGGCGGAAAGUGCCAGCCUGAGAGCGAGUCAUCGGGCGGGGCAGCGAGUCCGGGUUGGCGGCGGGCGAAGACGAAGAAGAGCCCGCCACCUCCGAUGUCGUGGGCGAGGCCGCCGCGGGCGAGGUGGCAGGCGAGGGCGCGGGGGACGCCGAGGAGGGCGUCGCGGCCGCCGGGGAGGCCGAUGGCACGGUCAGGGCCGGGGACGCCAAGGGCGUCGCGGGCGCCGGGAGGGGCGCAGCCCCUAAGGCAGCCAGCCAAGGAGAAACUCGACCCGUGACGCGGGGGGCACCCUCAAAGCCGGGAGGCGGCCCAAGAGAAGCUCGCGAGCGGCCGUCACCGGGAGCGGGCAAAGCCGCAACAUCCGAAGGUACCUGCUGAAACAGAAAAACCAUCUCAUCAAAGUAAACGUGUCGGGAAGUGAUUACCCAAUGUGAGAUAGGAUCAUAGCAGCGGUAGCCUUUGGUGUUGGGGGGAUAGCUGAGAAAAAUGCAUGCCACAGACCUUGGUGCGAGCUUAUGAGGAGUAGUGGAAGCGAUGCUAGGAUAGCACAGGCAACCGAAGAUGCGGAGCUCAGCGUAGGAGGGUGGCGUGCCGAACAAAGGUGAUGAGGUGCAAAAUUCCCGCGAGUGCGACAGGGACGGAUGUUGAGGAGUAGUGAUGCGGUGGCAAGCGCGUCGGGCCAAAAACAUGGUGACACGUUGGCGUGAAAGAGGAGGGUGCAGAUGCAGUCAUUAAGAGUGCGAAGCACGCGCUCAGCGCGGCCAUUUUGUUGCGAAGUGUACGGGCAAGUGAGACGAAAAAUCAUGUCGUGUGUGGCGAGAAGGUUGCGGAUCUCAAGAUUAUCAAACUCCUUCCCGUUGUCUAUUUGCAAACUGCGUGGAGACAUAGGAGUAGAACGCGGUGAGAGUGGCAACAGAAUCCGACUUUCGCCGCAACAGGAAGGUCCACACAUAGUGCGAAAAUUCAUCAAGUAUCUAUACCUCUAUAUCUAUAUCUAUACCUACUAAUAAAGCAAGAUGCGUUUCUCUAAAUUUUUCAUCCGUUCACCGUCGAAAAGUUUUUCUUUCUAUCCGAGGUGGUACUAAACUUUUAUGCGUCUAUCCGCUAGAAAAGAAAAAAAAUUAGUACAGAAUUCCGUCAUUGGGCGACUCGCGCUGCGGCCCAACGAGGCCAGCCAAUUUAUUAAUGCUCACAGAGUUAGGAAGGCCUUAUUUGUCGCACCGAGCGAAGAAUAGUUGUAGAUUCGCACAGGGCGCCUAUGACUGGGCCGGCCCGUUUCCCCUUUUUCGUUGUUCUAUUUCUAUUUUUAUUUUUCUGUUCCUUUUUAUUUCUCUUUUAAGUUUUUUCUUUUUUCCUUAUUUUUAUUAUUCUUUAUGAAGUAAAAAUUUACAAAAAUAUUCAGAAUUUCAAUUUUAUUCAAAAAAUAUUCAAAUAAUGGUCAGAAUUCCAAAAUUUACUUCUGUAUUGAAAAAUGUUUGAAACUUUGAAAAUUUCCCGUUUCAAAAUUUUCCCAAUAUUCAAAAAAUGCUCUCCUUUUUAAAAAUUAUUUUGUAUUUUCCAAAAAUUCUUCAAGAUUCUUUUAUAAAAAUUACAUUUUAUAAGAUGUUCCAUAUUUUAAACAAUUCUUGUUUCAGUGAAAUGUUCAAACCUCAAAAAGAAAUUACGUCUAAAACAUUUUGUAUUUUUAUGAAUGUUCCCUUAAAAAAUCAAAAAUUCAAAAAAAAUUGUUUUUGUAAAAUGUAAAUGUUUUCGAAAAAUAUUGUUUGUGAAUUUAAAAAACUAUUCAUGUUUCUAAUUUUGUUCGUGAUUUUCUUAAGAUAUUGGAAUUUGCAAAAACAAUGUUCGCUUUUUUCUAAAAUUGUCCAGGAUUUAAAAAUUGUUAAUGUUUCCAAGAAUAUUCACCAAUUCGUAUUUUUUAAUGUUCAAAAAAAUCAAAAAUAUUUCUGAUGAGACACUAUAGUAUUUUUUGAAAUAUUUGCGCUGGCCAUUAGUUAGCGGUGCGCAUUCGUUCUUUGUUGGUUGACUAUAAAUGAAAGAAAUUGUGGACACGUGUCAAUAAAUUAUGUUAUUUGGCUUUAGUUUGAGGAAAAUUAUGGGUACUUGAUCUCUAAAAUAAUCGAAGAGAAUAAACCCUAAAAAGGAAGGGACAUUCAUGCCUGAUUAUGCUCAUGAAAUGGGAUUUAUGCGCUGCAAUUAAUAAUCCACCCGGUUACGCCAUCGUAGCAUAGAGUGGUCGAAGCAACCAUGUCCCGAAGAUCGCCGCGCAGCCAACAAAUGAGUAGGCAGGCACAAGCCCGAGAUGAAGGCGAACCCGGAGGGAAAAAGGCAUGAGUUGGGUGCUCGCCACCACACCGAUCAACCCUAUCACUAUCAAGAUUUUGCGUGUCAAACAUGUCCAGCGAGAAGACCAUAACUUCUUGCUCUGUCGCCUACCAUUGUGGAGACCCUUUUUUGGAUGACACAUCAAUUAUUUUCCCUGUUGCUUCUUGCAAAAACAUAUCCCUCCCGUUGCAACGCACGGGCAUAUGUGCUAGUACUAAUAAAGCAAGGUGCGUUUUUUCGAUUUUUUUCAUCCGUUCACCAUCGAAAAGAUUUUUCCUAUUCGAGGUGGUACUAAAUAUUUGUCCGUUCGUCUAUUAGAAAAGGAAAAACGCGAGAAUUUCGUACAUGGGCCGCCUGCAGUGUGGGCCAGCAAAGCCAGCAAACUUUUUCGUGCCCACGCAGUUGGAAAAUCCUAUUUCUCGCAUAGGGCGUCAAAUAGUCGCAGCUUCGCACAGGGCGGCCAACCUGGGCUGAACCACUUUCAUUCUUUUUUCUGUGUGCUGUUUUUAUUUUUAUUUUUCUGUUUUAUUCCCUUUUUCUUUAGUGUUAGUUUUGUCUUUUUUACUUUCAAGUUUAUUUUCUUUUUCCCUUUUUGCAUAUAUUCAUAAUUUUUGAAAAAGUUCAUAAUUUCAAAUUAUAUCGAAUUCUAGAAAAAUUUCGAAAUUCCAAGACAUAUCCCAUUUUGAAAAAUGGUCAGAACUUUAAAUCAAUGUUCUCAUUCCAAAAUUGGUACAAAUUAUUGAAACAUUAUUCCAUUUUUUCUUUGUGUUUUCCAAAGUUGUUCAAGAUUUUCAAAAAAAAAAUUCCCUUUGAAUUAUUUUUUCAAAUACCAAAAUAUUUUUGUUUUAGUGAAAUGUUUGAAAAUUCAAAAUAAUUGCCAAAUUUAAAGAAAGACAUUUUCUAAAACUGUUCUGAAUGUUCAAAUUUUUUUUCGUUUUGUAAAAAUUCUUCACAAAUUAAAACAAUGUUCAUAUUUCUAAAAAAGGAUCAUGAUUUUAAAUAAAAUUGUUAAUUUUGAAAGUUUCAAUUUUUUCUAUAUAUAUUAAAAUUUAGAAUUAUCAAAAGCUUGUUUGGGAUUUUCAAAAUUAUUCAUGUUUCCAAGAAUAUUCCGCAAUUUAUAUUUUUAAAAAUUAAAAAACAAAAAAAUAUCGUUUCCAAUCAAACAUUGGAGUAUAUUUGGCAAUUUAUAUUUUUCCAUCUGUUCACCAUUGUGAACAUUUUUUUCUAUCCAAGGUGGUACAAAUUUUUCGUUCACAAUUUCAUACGUAGGCCUUGUGCGCUUUGGCCCACCGAAGCCAGUCCAGUGUUUUUUGCUGCCCACGCAGCUCGGAAAACCCUAUUUCUCGGACGCUGCGGCAAAUGUCAGAGCUUCGCACAAGGUGCCGAAGACUGGGCCGGCCCAUUUUUGUUUUUUCUGGAUUCUGUUUCCAUUUUUCUUUCUCUGUUUCUUUCCUGUUUAUUUUUACGUUUUUCCCUUUUUUCAUAAAUUCAAAAAUUACAGAAGGCAUUUAGAAUUUAAUUUUUUCUAUAUUUUUGUAAAUAUUUAGAAUUCAAAAAAUUUGUUCCCAUUUUUAUUUUUUUGGACCUUUUAUUUUAUGUUCCCGUACUAAACAAAAUACAAAAUUCAAAAAUGUUCCCAUUUUUCCAAAACAAUGCUUUUAUUUUUCAAAAUUGUUCGAUAUUUUCUAAAUAAAGUUACAUAAUUUUUUUCAACUUCAGAAAUUAUUGUUUUGGUAAUUUAAUGCUCAAAAUUCAAAAUAAUGGUAGUGUUAAGAAAGGACAUUUUUCUAAAAUUGUUCUCAUUGUUCAAAAACAUGUUCCUUUUUUAAAUGAUUGUUCAAAGGUGCAAAAAAUGUUCGUGUUUUUAGAAGGUUCAUGUUUUCAUUUUUCUGUGAAUUUCAAAAACACACUUUCGGUCUCAAUUUUUUUUUGGCUUUUUGCAAAAUUGAAUGAAACUUUCUACAAACUCUUCAUAUAUUUGAAAAUUGUUUGGGAUUUCAAAAUGUGUUCACAUUUCCAAGUAUAUUAGGUAAUUCUGAAUUAAUUAUAUCAUUUUUGAAUAUUUCAAAAAAAUAUAUAAAAAAGUAAUCUCAAAUCUAACGCCGUAGUAUGUUUUUAAAUAUUCGGGCUGGCCGUUGGUUAGGAAGGCCCAUUUGUUCGAGUGGCCAGCAACAUGUGGUAGUGUUUUUUAGGUCUUCAGUUCCAUGCUUCAUCUCGUCAUUUUUUUAUUUGGAUUUUUACACGUGCCUUACAAACACGGGUCUUUUCGGUGCCUGACAAUUUGCUAGCUGAGACGCGAACUGUGGUACGUCUCAUGUGCUAUUUGACGAUAAAAGAGAAUAAGUUGGUCGGCUAUAAUUGAAAUAAAUGAGUCAAUCAUGCCCCGAAGGUCGCCGUGAAACCACCAAAUAUGGAGGCAACCACAACCCCGACACGGAGGCGGACCCGGAGGAAGGAAAAAUCAUGAGUUGGGUGGUCGCCGCCAUGGCGCCUCGACCACUAUCUAGAUCUCGCAGGUCGAACCUAACUCGCGAGAAGACCACAUCUCCAAGCUCUGUCGCCCCAUCGCCGCUGAGACCGUUUUUAGUGGACUCUUCCGUUGCUUCUCGCCAAAAAAUAUAUCCCCCUUUGCAACGCAUGGGCAUAUGUGCUAGUAACAAGAUAAUAAAGAUAGCCCGUGUUACUUGCAACAGGAGAGGUCCAAACAUCACUAUGAAUUAACUCAAACGGGUAUGAUGCAACGUGCGAGGAAGUGCUAAAAGGAAGACAAACAUGUUUGCCGAGACGACAAGCAUGACAAGUGUGAUCGUCGAUCUUAUUACACGUGAAUGAAAAACUCCGAAGAAUAUGACGAAGGGUGGCGGUGUUGGGAUGACCGAGACGAGCAUGCCAAAGGCCCACUCCGGCGGAAAGCGCCAUGGGUGCAGCGACGGAGGAGGUGGAUGAGUGGACCAGGUAGAGCCCGUCGGGGCUGUCACAUCGGUGGAGCACCAUCCGGGUACGGGCAUCCUUAACAGAAAACCCAAACAUGUCAAAUUCAACGGUGACAUGAUUUUCGCGUGUAAGAGAACGAACGGAAACAAGGUUUUUAAUGAUGUCAGGGGAGACAACUACGUUAGAAAGGUAUAAUGGCAUGGAGUUAGAAGGAAAAGCAGCAUGGCCGACAUGAGUAAUAGGCAUGGAGGAACCGUCGCCCACGGUAAUGCGAGCAGCAGUGUGAACGGGGUGAGCGGUAAGAAGGUUACCGGGGUUGGCGGCCAUGUGAGCCGUGGCUCCGGUGUCCAUGCAUAUACCAGUCGUCACCGCAUGUGUACUGCUGUGGCGUGGGGGCGGUGUGGAGGGCCGCUAGAAGCGCGGGGUCCCAAGGCGCCGGCGGGAGGGCCGGGGCCGACGGCAACGGCUGUGGCGGCAGCGCCGCGAACCCACCGGCCGAAGGCAGGCCAUAGGCCGCAGAGGGGCCGUAGAGCGGCGCGGGCGGGUACGGCUGAGGGGCCGCGUAAAGCGCCUGAUGAGAUGCCGGGCGGGUGUAAAAGAAGCCGGGGAUGGGGCGCGCGGUACAGGCAUGGAGUACGCGUGAACGACCCCCGUCCAGGUGUUCUGGCCGGCCUGCCAGGGCGCCGGUGGGAGCUGCUGCUGCGGCUGGCGCGGCGCCCCGCCAUGGGUAGCCGGCUGUGGCUGCUCCUGUUUGCGGCCACCUCGGNNNNNNNNNNNNNNNNNNNNNNNNNNNNNNNNNNNNNNNNNNNNNNNNNNNNNNNNNNNNNNNNNNNNNNNNNNNNNNNNNNNNNNNNNNNNNNNNNNNNNNNNNNNNNNNNNNNNNNNNNNNNNNNNNNNNNNNNNNNNNNNNNNNNNNNNNNNNNNNNNNNNNNNNNNNNNNNNNNNNNNNNNNNNGGCGCCCGCCCCGGCGCUGCUGCUGCUCGAUGGGGGGCGGCGGGGGGGCCUGCUGUGGCACCGGGUAGGGGAACCCGGGCGGUGGCGGCGCCUGGAAGGGGCCCGGGGUGGGCCGCGGCGGGGGAGCCGAGGCGGUGGGCGGCGCACCGCCGCGGGUACCGGCGGUGAGGGCCGUGUGGGUGGCCCGGGUGCGCGACAUCCGCAUCCUCCUCUCCUCCAGCUUCAGGUACGCGACGAUCUUGGGGAAGGUUGGGUUGGUGAUGAGAGGGAUGUUGGAGGCGGCGUUCCCGAAGUCUUCGUUCAGGCCGGCGAUGAGGGUGCUGAGAAGAAGCUUGUCGGAGACCUUCUCAGCGAGGUCACGGAGCUCGUCAACAAGCUUCUUGAGGCGCAUGCAAUAAUCGUCAACAGACGAGUCGAGCUGCUGGCACCCAAAAAACUCACCGUGCAAGAAAACCUUGCGUUGGAGCUCGUUGUCGAUGAAGAGGCCGUUGAGCUUAGUCCAAACGGCGUGAGCGUCAUCGUCGGUGGAGACCACCGUGUGGAAGAGGUCCUUCGAGAUGGUGGUGUAGAACCAACAGAUGAGAGUGACGUCGAUGGACGUCCACUCCUCAUCGUCCUCCAUGAAGCCGGAGUCCACGGAGCUAUCGAUGUGAUCCCGGAGAUUGUACUCACGGAACACAAGGGAGAAGUAUGUCUUCCAGGCAUAGUAGGUGGAGGUGAGGUGAUUGAGGACGACGGGAACCCGAGCGAGGAUGUUGAGAUCGCGGAUGACGACGGGAACCCAAUCGAGGAUGUUGAGAUCGCGGAUGAUGACGGGGUCGGGGCCUUCGAACGGGUUGGUGCGGCGGCUGCGGGUGGUACCGGAGGAACCGGGGGAGGCCAUUAGUCCGAGAGGGGGGUACGGCGGCACGUGGGGAGACGGCGCGGCAAGGGGGUGGCGGCGCGGCUUGGGGCGGCGCGGCGGUUUGCCGGCGGAAGCGUGNNNNNNNNNNNNNNNNNNNNNNNNNNNNNNNNNNNNNNNNNNNNNNNNNNNNNNNNNNNNNNNNNNNNNNNNNNNNNNNNNNNNNNNNNNNNNNNNNNNNNNNNNNNNNNNNNNNNNNNNNNNNNNNNNNNNNNNNNNNNNNNNNNNNNNNNNNNNNNNNNNNNNNNNNNNNNNNNNNNNNNNNNNNNNNNNNNNNNNNNNNNNNNNNNNNNNNNNNNNNNNNNNNNNNNNNNNNNNNNNNNNNNNNNNNNNNNNNNNNNNNNNNNNNNNNNNNNNNNNNNNNNNNNNNNNNNNNNNNNNNNNNNNNNNNNNNNNNNNNNNNNNNNNNNNNNNNNNNNNNNNNNNNNNNNNNNNNNNNNNNNNNNNNNNNNNNNNNNNNNNNNNNNNNNNNNNNNNNNNNNNNNNNNNNNNNNNNNNNNNNNNNNNNNNNNNNNNNNNNNNNNNNNNNNNNNNNNNNNNNNNNNNNNNNNNNNNNNNNNNNNNNNNNNNNNNNNNNNNNNNNNNNNNNNNNNNNNNNNNNNNNNNNNNNNNNNNNNNNNNNNNNNNNNNNNNNNNNNNNNNNNNNNNNNNNNNNNNNNNNNNNNNNNNNNNNNNNNNNNNNNNNNNNNNNNNNNNNNNNNNNNNNNNNNNNNNNNNNNNNNNNNNNNNNNNNNNNNNNNNNNNNNNNNNNNNNNNNNNNNNNNNNNNNNNNNNNNNNNNNNNNNNNNNNNNNNNNNNNNNNNNNNNNNNNNNNNNNNNNNNNNNNNNNNNNNNNNNNNNNNNNNNNNNNNNNNNNNNNNNNNNNNNNNNNNNNNNNNNNNNNNNNNNNNNNNNNNNNNNNNNNNNNNNNNNNNNNNNNNNNNNNNNNNNNNNNNNNNNNNNNNNNNNNNNNNNGAUCAUGUGUUCCGAUGUCCAAAGUGAACGGAUAUUCGGCACUUACAGGUUACAGCUGCCACAUUUGACCCGUCUAAGUUAUUGUUGCAAAAUAGUCGCGUUCGUUUUCUCGCCGGUCAGAGUUGUGUUGUAUACAUUUUAUAUCUUGUCCGUGCCAAUUCCCUAACUCUUGCCGCCGCUGACGGACCAGACACUGAAGAUUAUAUAGCGUCGAAUUUCACUGCUAGGAGUAGACAGUCUACUGUUUGCUUUACGUAUCAUCUUUGCAUGGCACAAACUUGGUGAAAGGCGUGUCGGGCGAGGCCCUCCUCGUCGGUGCAAAGCCACAGCAGAUGGCUAGCUCUAUAGGGAUGCCGAGGUGCCUAAUAAAGUGAAGGUUUAUGUCUGGAGAAUGCUUAAGAAUGUAUUGGCACAGUGGGGGAACAUCUGGACCAUAGGACUAUCAAAGAAGGGGUGCUGUGUGUUGCUUGUGGAUGAGGUGACUAUAUUAUUGCACCAUUUCUGGAGGUGUCAUUAUUCCAAAGUACUCUGGAGAUGCCUACAAUCAGAUACGGAUUUGUUGGGUCACGGCCGAACGUCCACACCCACAAUGACUUGGCUGGGUGGUUGAGGGAUUUGUUGGGUCCGACGAAGGAAAGCGAAAAAGGGUUGAUCACUACUACAUAUCCAAAUAGCAUUAAGCGAAAAAGGAUUUGAGGGAUUUGUUACGUAUCAUCACUGACCUGCUAGUGGCCUAUCAAUGCCUCCAGGUCAGUUGUGACUUUCACACCACAGACUUUCAUCACAGACUGCUAGCCAUUCAGUGAUAGUAGUUCAUCGCAUGUUGUUUGCUCCUUUUUUAUUGCUUGGCUAUAUUCAUGUUGGUACCAGCAAGGCACGCAAAUGAAAUUUUCGGAAUUACGUGAACAGAAUACGCAUGCAUACAUCAUUCAUUUGGGGAAGUUGCUUUCCAUAUAACAAAAAGUGUACAUUUACACACUUCACUACCAACAUAUAUAUGGAACAUAGAUACUUCUACCACAUUACGAACAGUAGUCUAUCGAUCGAGCAAAUUACCAAACUAGAAAAGGAACAUAAAUAUUACCACGAUAAAGGAUGCUGGAGUACCGCCUCCCUGGGGCAUCGCUGGCGACAGAGCUCUCUGUGCCUUCCGCUUCCGGUUGGGGUGCCGCAAGGGCCUCUCGGGGGCUCUAUGUGGCAUCCAAUCUUCCUGGACGGAGUGUUGCCGCGCGACCCGGCUUGGAGGUCCAUGAUGGGUGGACCGUGAGGUGCGCCCGGGGCCACCGUUAUUUGGCGGCUUCAGGGGCAGACAAAGGACAUAGAUACUUCUACCACAUUACAAAGAGUAGUCUAUCAAUCGAGCCACUUAACAAACCAACAUGUAUAUGGAAAAUAGAUACCUCUACCACAUUACAAAGAUUAGUCUAUCCAUCAAGCCACUUAACAAACUUGACAAAGGACAUACAUAUAAAUUUAAAUAUGCUAAACUACUCAUAAUUACCUCACCAAUCUAUGUCAAAUACAAUGGCCAGUAGGAAGUACCGAUGAAACCGGUCGGUGCUUGCACCAACAGGUAAAUUUGUAGCGCAACUCGUCAUGUUCAUUUGUGUAGUGCAACCAAAAUAAAACUCUGCAUAGAACAAUAACCGGCAUGACAAUCACAUAAGAUAUUCAUCGACCUAUUAUUUCAGAUCGAAUUCAAGCAAACUUUAUGAAAUAAGCAAUUAGUUAACCUUGUACAUGACAUAAGCAGUGGUGUGUUUACAACGGACAACACUCUCGGCGUUUUUCCAGAUGAUGUUCACCUUUUUCUGGAGUAUCACCCUGCCAAAUACCGGCAAAAAUGGCUAUUUUUUCUUGUGUGCAGUGCAAUUAAAAUGGAUAUCCGUUUCAACACAAUAGUUGUUAUGUACUUUUUCCCACUUAUAUAGAGAUGCAUAAAAGGCAUAACUGAUUUGUUCAGGAACAGAUAAACCUCAUAUAACAUAAGUAAUCUUAUUAUCCACAUCAAAGACAUUACUCCUUUGAUUUGAAUGAGUUAAAGAACUUAAGUUAUUCCUCAACACAUAAUAGUCAAAGCAAGCUGUGCCUUAGUUAUGUGUAAAGGUAUCAAGUCUCAUCAUCUGCCUACUAAGAAGUUUGUAGUGGUACACCAUCAGAAAAGUUUCACUAAAUUCUUAACAGAUUUCUACAAAGAAAUAGCUAAUGCUGCCAAAAUAUCUAUAAGUUAAAAUACAUCAAACCCUACAAAAAAUUGGUUGAAAUACAUCAACCCCUAUAGAUUUCUACAACUAAAUACAUGAACUAACCCUAAAAAAUUACAUCCGCAUGAAGGUUAGUCACACAGAAAAGCCUAAAUGUUCUAUAAUGUUAGAAGGAGAGCAGCUCACCACCAUGAUCGCCAUCAUGACUGAAGAGCAAGGCAGGAGUACCGGGUAUACGACCUCAUAUGACGGUGUGGGUGACCUGGUGUGCAACGGCAGGGUGGAUACGGAACCAGAGAUGCCGGACGGAGGCUAUGCACGACAAGAGAGCGCCACUUAGGAAGGCGUUGGAGCAGCUGCGGCCGGACUAGGUUGCCGCGGGGCAGUGGCGGAGCUAGACAAAAAUGUUUUGUGGGGCCAAAAGAGAAAAAAAAUCUGUAGUGAGCAACUGCUACUGAGAGUUCUCGCAAAGAAAACACUGCUACUGAGGGAACAAAUUAUAAUGUAUAUAUAUAUACUCCAAUUCAAUCAACCACUAACCAAUUGAGAGAGAAAAUUGUAGCCCUAUUACACAAAAAAAAAACAAUUUUAUAAUGUCGUCGCCACCGUUCCAAACGCAGAGCUUCUUCCUAACCUCGUCGUUGUAUCCUCAACAAAGACCAGACGGCAUCGAGGGCCCGAGGCUGUCCGUUGCGGCGCCAUGGGCUGGUUGAGUGAAGAAUACCACAUGAGUUGAGAAGCAGCCAAGCUGGUGAGUGAGGAGGGCUUGUUCGUUGGUGGAUUUGUGAAAGUAAUACAGAUCAAACAUGAGCAAUACGUGCGUGCGUGUGGUGCUUCCGGCCGACUGGCCGUUGUGUACAUACUUGCGUUUUGGUGUUGCUUGCAGCUGUUUUACUGGAGGAUCGAUCAGGUGCUUUGCUAGAGGAAGCUAGCUUCGUGCUAAGUGGAUUGAUCUAGGUUACAGUGUGUACAUCUCGGCGUAAUAGAACUUCGUCGAGUUCGUUAGCGAGCUUCGUUUGUCAUCGUUGUUCGUCGUCGGUCGUAUCACCGUCGCCGGAAGUACUCGGCGUCGGGACAUGGCCAACAAUUGGUAUCAGAGCAAGAUUGAUCUUCUAGUAACAGGAGAUCAUGUCGGACGACAAGAAGAACAAGCAGCUGGCGGAGUACUCCGGUGCGGCUAAAGUAAUUGCUUCGCCGGUGAGAUAGUUGUAUCCACGAUUCGACCGUGGGAACUUCAUGGUACGGGUGCCCAUGAUGGAGUGCGCGCUCGAGGCCAAUGAGCUUUGGGAAGACGUCGACCCCGGCGGUGAUGACUACAUGAAGGGUGGUGCCUUGUAUUGGAAGGAUUGCCAGGCUAUCACGACCAUCUUCUCGGUGAUGCUGGUGGACGUGCAACAGCAUCUAAUCUCGAAGACAUCUGUGAAGGAGGCAUGGGACACGCUGAAGACAUUGCAUCUAGGACACUUGCGUGUGCGCGAGGCGAACUUGCAAACUUCACGGAAAAGUUACGGGAGUAUGAGGAUGGGAGAACAUGAGACGGUGGAUGCCUUCGCAGCAAGGGUUGCCACGAUGGUAAACGGGAUUCGCAGUCUUGGGGAGAAGCUAGAGGAUAUCACCGUGGUCCGGCGUUUUUUACAUGCCGCUCCACCGCGCUACAUGCCGAUUGUGUCAGAGAUCGAGCAAUGUAUUGAUCUCAAGACUCUGACUUUGGAUGAUCUGGUUUGUAACUUCAGGGCGGAUGACGAGCGGAUGAAACUGAGUUGCGGUGACGCAAAGCAGGAUGAUUACGUGAUGCUUACACGUGCUCAGUGGCAGGCGAUGGUUUCCAAGGAGAACAAUUUCGACAAGGCGUCUGGUAGCGGCGGAAAGUACCGUCCCGCAAAGGACAUCGACGAACAGUCGGAAAAGCAAAAGAAGAAAAAGUUCCACAAGAGGAAGAUCCGCUGCCACAACGGUAAUCUGCUCGGCCACUUCAAGACAGACUGUAAGAAUCUCCUGAAGGAGAAGAUGCUCAUGGCCGAGGAAGAUGAUGCAAGUGACAUGAUGUUGAUGUGCGAGCUCGUGGACGAGGAGGAUCAUUUUCUUCAAGCGUCGGCUAAAGAAAUUGUCGUGCUCAGUGAAGAAAAAGUUCGCUCUCAAAAUCAUGGUUUGAAAAACUCGUGUCGCUGUUACAAACAUGAGCGGUGAUUCCAAAACUCGUGUCGAAGGUACUGACGCGAGACAUAAUUCUGAAAUUUGUGUCGAUCUAAGGACACGAAUGUCACUUCAGCGUACGUGGCGCCUGAAGACCAUGAAUCAAAGUAUGCUGAUACAAAAGUGGGCAUGUGCGCAUCAGCCAUGCCACACUACCCAAUAACAGGUGAACGUGGUGUCCCACUGAGUAGGCCGAAAGCACUGGCCGCAUUAACUCAAGUGUGUGUGGUACUUCCGGCCGACGGGCCGUUGUGUACGUACUUGUGUUUUGGUGUUGCUUGCAGCUAUUUUACCAGAGGAUCGAUCAGGCGCUUUGCUAGAGGGAUCUAGCUUCGUGCUGAGUGGAUUGACCUAGGUUACAGCGUGUACAUCUCGACGUAAUAGAACUUCGUCGAGUUUGUCAGCGAGUUCCUUUUCUCAUCGUUGUUCGUCGUCGGUCGUAUCGUCGUCGGGACUGGGCCAACACAGACAUAGUGCAAUCCCACAGGAGAGGGGCUCACCAACGACGGUGAGAGUUAGGGAAUUGGCACGGACAAGAUAUAAAACGUAUACAACACAUUUUUGACCAGCAAGAAAACAAACGCGACUAUUUUGCAACAAUAACUUAGACGGGUCAAAUGUGACAGCUGUAAGUGCCAAAUAUCCGUUCACUUUGGACACCGGAACACAUGAUCACUGACUGAUCAAUUUCAAACCCGUCUCUAAUAAGCAUGAAGUAGAGCUCAAAAUACCUCAUCACUGAUGCACCAUGGAAGACUCGUCAGUGAUCGUCCUCAUCACUAAUGCGUGGGCAUUCUCGUUGCUCAGCAAUUGAGGGUCAGUGAUUCUGAUCUUUAGUAGUGGAUUGUGCAAGGCUUCUAUCAGUUCUGGCUGGUGAGGAACCAUGUGAGUUACACUAGUAAACUCUAUCUUUCAUGUGGAAGGCACACCAACAGGAAGACAUACAACAGGAAGACAUACAAGUCGUGGCUCAGCAGCAGGAACGAUGGCAUCUGCCAGAGCAUGGGUGGAUCUAAGGCAAUGCUGACGGUGUAUGGGCCAAGAAUCAAGACAGAGAAGGAGGGGCGGUCCUUGUUAGAUAAUAUUUAUACGUAGCUUCAGAAUGCUUUUCUCCAUGGGGUCUUCGAGGAAGAGGUUUACAUACGGCAACCUCCAGGUUUUGUUGAUCCUGCUCAUCCACAUGAUUUGUGUCAUCCUGUUAAGGCACUUCAUGGACUUAGAGCAUCUCCAGCCGUGCCCCCAACAAGCCCCUCCAAGGCCCUUUUUCGUUGCCGGCGCCUAAAAUUCGGCCCAGUCAGGCCCCCAAAAGCCCAAUUUUCAUCGGUUAGGGCCGAAUUUGGCGUCGGCGGACCCAGGCCGAACCCGACACGCUGGGGGCGCCCGGGGCGCCGGAGGAAACGUUUUUGGCGCGAAAAUAAAUGGGCACACCGAGUCAGCGACUCGCCGCCUUCGUCGUCCUCAUCACCUCGAUCCUGCAGGAAUCAAUGCCAAGGCUGCCACGCUGCCGCGCCGGUCAGUCUUCCAUAGAUGCCUCACGGGCAGCGCAGUGAAGGCGCGGCGAUGCGCGUCCCGCCCACUCCCGCCAUGCGGCACACGGCAGCAGCCCUCCCACCGCCCAUAUGUGGCUAUAAAUGCUGCCCUCCCUCGCCGAUGAACACACACGCCCUCACCUCCGACGCCCCUCUCUCCGUCUCUCGCCGUCGAUGCCCCUCUCUCCUACUCUCUCCCCCGCCGACGGCAAUGGUCGAGCGCUUCCCAGGCGACGAUGCGGCGGCGAACGGCUUUGGCCGCCGCCAUCUGCACGAGGACGAGAUGCGCUUCCUCUACGAGGCCGACUACCCGGCGCCCCCGGACAUGCGGGUUUCGGCCGCCUGGAGGCGUCCCUGUGCCGCCCGCGCCCACCGGAGCCGCUCGGCGCCACGAGGAGCAUAUCGCCUCCACCACCGACGUCGAGCAUUGAGGCCGCCUCAACCCUGAGGGGCGCCGCCAAUGGUGGGGCAUCCCCGGCCGCACCCUCGAAGCUGUCCUCGAGCACAUCGAGGACGGCAACACGUCGUGCCUGGAGCGCCCCCUCUUUCUCCCGCCGCCAUGGUAGCUCCUGGACGCCGCGGCACGGUGACCUCCUCGUCGUCGUAAUCUGGAUCCCUUUCCUUCGGUUCGCCGACGCUCCACCCCGUCAAGCUGGAGCCGCUCGAGACGCCGCUCAGGCGCCCUCGUCAUCAACGAGGGCGGCCACCCCUCUCCUUCUUCUUCCCGCCUCGUCAGGGAGAAGAUCAAGCUGGGGUUGCUCCCCGUGAAGAAGGAGCACGAGGCCAUGGCCACCAACGACGAGACCGCUAUCGGUGUCAAAACCGGAAGAUCUCGGGUAGGGGGUCCCGAGCUGUGUGUCAUGGAUUGAUGGGUAACAGGAGACAGGGGACAUGAUGUUUACCCAGGUUUAGGCCCGCUUAAUGGAGGUAAUACCCUACUUCCUGCUUGAUUGAUCUUGAUAACUAUAGAGAUUACAAGAGUUGAUCUACCCUGAGAUCAUAUAUAUGUUGUGGUCUAAACCCUAGGGGUAUGAUGAUUAAUGUCAUAAUAAUCUAUCGACUAGCCUGGCCUUGGCUUAUAUAAUGCACCAGAGGCCUAGGAUAACAAGAGUCCUAGCCGAAUAUGUUGGUGGAGAGGAGUCCUUGUCUUGAUCACAAAGUCUUGUGGAAUACUCCUUGUAUGCGGCAUGGGUUGCCCGAAGUGGCCUAUGAGUGAACCGCCAUGGGGGUCCUUGGCCCGAUCCACCUGGUCGGGAGACGAUGUGGUGAGUACCCCCUAGUCCAGGACACCGUCAGUAGCCCCCUGAACCGGUCUUCAAGUUGGGGACGCUCCUCGAUCCUUCCAAACUGUUCUUCAUCUUCGGUCGUUGGUCUUGAAAACUGGUUCAACAAAUCUUCUCAUCUUCGAUCUUGAGGAUCGCCGAAGCAAAUCUGAAGAGUUUACACGUCGGGUAUCCGAGGAGCCCCUUUUAAGUUAUCGGCCUUUAUCAAUGCCUUGUUAUUUUUACGCCCACCUCGGGUUUGAAGUUGCUCCCGUGCAGCGGUGUCCUCUUGCAUCCGAGCCCCAAUGCCGGACUGCAUUCGAGGUAUCUUUUGUAGCCGAGCACCAACGCCGGACUGUAUCCGAGCUCCAACGCCGGACUGUAUCCGAGCUCCAACGCCGGACUGUAUCCGAGCUCCAACGCCGGACUAUAUCCGAGGUGUCAUAGAUCACCUUGGCUUGAAAAAGCUUAAAGGAUGUUAUCCAAGCUUAACGCUGAAAAGUUCUCUAUGGAGCCAGCCGCUCGCAGCCGAACUUUAUGCCGGCUGCCUCCGAGGUGAUGCACCACCUCAGGCUCGGGCUGAUUGUUUGAUCAUUUCAUUUCCGAUUGAUGCAAUUUAUUUACUAACGAGAUAUAUAGCCAGUAGCCCUCAAGGUGUGUGUCGGCCUAAAAUCCGAGAUGCACACUAGAGGAGAUAGUGAUCGGCGGACGGGCCCUUGAGAGAGGGUUUUGAGAAGUCGCCGUAAUAUCUUAGCUUGAUGCCGGAUAGGACCCAAAUUUUCACUUCCGUCAUUGCCGGCCAAUUAUAUCCUAACCCGGAUGACCCGGUAGUAACAAUCAUAGAGGUGCUCCCUUUACCGCCUAGCCGAACAAUCGGGAACGUAGGGGUAAGCACAGGAGCCAGGCAACCCAGCUUGGCCAAAAUCUUAAGUCAAAUUGAUGCAUAUGUAUGGCUUUAUAACGAUAAUUACGGAAGGCAGCGCUGGUAUAAUGAAUACAAACGCUGAUGAUAUAUGUUUAUUUUGACUCCGUUGCGACCGUUUAUCAUUUGAAAGUGGCCCAUCGUCGGCUUUUCUACCCCUUUGUAGAUGCUACGUAGGGUGCUUCCGCAGUAACCAGAAAACCCUUAGCCGACAUCUCGGUGCCCGAAGGCGGUUGUGUUGGCGGAAACAAGGCAAUCAGAUAUGUGGGCUUUAUAUCUUUCACUUAGUCAUAGGAGCUUAAAGUUUGGGAGGACAGUUAUUAGCCCCCGGUAGUGUUCGGCGUCAGCUGAUGUCCAGCCGUUAACACUUUGGCCAAUGUUAUGAACGGCCCGUCGUUUAACACGGGGUGACCUCCAUCGAUCUUAUAGUUAAACACAUUCAUCGGAUCGCUGACCAGUUUGCGCUUAUUAUGACAGUCAGUUUUCGGCUUUCUCCACUAAGGCGCUUAACCAUUCGAGCUGGAAGCACAAUCGCAGUGGUUCUCUCUUUGCACACCUAGCCGAACAAAGCGGAACGUAGGAGGCAAGCACAGGAGCCGGGCAACCCAACUAUUGACCGAAGACACAAUUCGAAACUAAUGCAUAUAAAGCAAUAUCCGAGAACAUUUUGCCAAGGACUCCUUGGAGUACCUUGGCUUUUGGUGGGUUCGGCUCAAGUCGCAGCCCCCCGUUGAUAUUGUCGAUGCUUAAAAGUGUCCGGCAGUGUACUGCGGGAUUUAUGCUCGAACCCAACACCGAGGUGCAGGUCGGCAGGAAAAAUGCCGAACUAUGGGUCGAAAAAGAUUUCCCAAGCUGGAUUAUUAGGCAGGGUACCUCGGUCAAGAGGAUGUCCCGCCUCAUAAAAGAAAAACACACAAAUAGAUCAAAAGUGCCAUAAGCUUGGAGAAUCAAAAAACUGUAGUAAAAACUUGACGUCCGAACUAGAUCAAGUGUUCGGUGCCAAUCCAAAAAUUGGUCUUAGAAAAAAAUGUGCUUCUGUCGUGCUUUAACAUGACACAUCCUAUCUCAAGACUUCAAGCGGGUCAGCCUACGGCUUCAACCUCCUAUCCCGAAGGCGGAGUACUUCUCGUUAGGCCAGUUUAGCAAACUAAACUCUAGCGGCUUUGAGAGAGAAAUUAGGCUCCCCGGCUAUUGACCACACACUCGUGUCGAAAAAUGAGUGAUAGAAAAAGACUUUGCAAUGACUAAGAAGAAGAACACUUAUUAUAAAACAGCUCAUUUAAAUUAAGAGCGCCCAGUUAACAUGGGAAAGGAAGUGUUUUUAACAAACAACAUAUGUGAGCAUGGUCGAACCGAACACAAUUUAAAAAUUUAAAACUUUGAGCAUGAAAGCAACUUAGCUGGUUAAUGUGUUCGGCAUCGAUGACGCGGUCCGAGCUUACGGCGGGACGAGGUUCCAUCCCCUAAGCCGGUCCCGAGGUGGCGGAGCAAAGAGCUCGGCACUCCAAAGUGGCGACAUAACACGGCCAAUGUGGCGAGGUGGAACCCCCAGUCCGUCCGAGGCGACGGAGCAGGCCAGCAGUAUGACGCCGAAGUUCCCGGCGUGGGUUAAUGAAGUGAUGGCGAAGCCCCCGGUCCAGCCGAAGUGACGUGGUACGUCAGUACGCCGAGGUGACAGCGCUGUCCAACCUGGAUAAUUUACCUGUGCACAGAAAAUAGUGCAAGAAGGAGAUAAUAGUAACAAUAAUCAAUUAAAAGAUGUAGCAUAAUAAAUAAUUUAUCCAAAGUGAAUAAUUAAAGGAAUAUUACCCAAUCGCCGAACACCCGAUGAGGUAGAACCCUCUCGAUGAUGCCGAAGUCAUCGAGGCAACCGAACAUGUCGGUAUAGCAAUUCGACCAACAAGGUGAUCAUGCGAGCCGAUUUAUACCGAUUGGGACGACGACAUUGGCUUGUUGAAGUGAGCGCGUGAUGCAGUCGAAGUCGAUUACCUACACACAUCAAAUAGUGCGGUCCAAAAAUAAUAAUAUAAAUAUAUAUAAAAUCCUUGCAUAAUUGCUUUAUGCAAAAAUAAUUUAUUUAAAGAGAUGUGGCUUGGCGCCGAAGCCAAUGUCGGUGCAGGGCGUCGGCGUGACGCAGUGAAGGCGUGACAAAGCCUAAAUUUGCAGGGCGGUCCGGGCUCUAGGUGCGGCGUUCUCCGAACUGCGGACGGGAAACUGGCCAAACCAUCACGCAACCAUCGUUAAUGCAGCCAUCAUUUGAAAGACCUGUGUACAGAUGAUGUAACAAACUAGAGUAAUAAUUUCUCAGAAAAAUAAACUCAAGCAAGAAAAGAAUUACUAGGAUUAAUAGCACCUGGUUUAUCUGUUGUAGCAAUCUGAAAAAGGUUACUCCCCAAAUUGGGACUUGAUCCGCACACCCAUUGUCUGAUGAUCGAUGAAGUGGCGGCAUGGCGAUGCUGGCAAAGGUUGGCCUGCCGAGGCAAAGCCCCCGGUCCAGCUAAUGUGAUGAAGCUGGUCGCCGGGUGGCGCCGAAGUCUCCGGAGUAGGUUGACGAAGAGAUGGUGAAGCCCCCGGUCUAGCCGAGGUGACGGAGCGGGUCGGAAAGGAGACGUUGCAGCUGCCAUGUCAGCCGAAGUGUUGAAGCAGUUCGACGUGAUGAAUAUCAGCUUGAAGAAGCAACAGUGCGGUCAUGCCGAUGCUGGUCAUAACUUGUGAAGCGGUCAAAGCCGGAUUGAUGAAGUGACCGAACGGUGAUGCCGGUGUGCUCGUUCCGUGUAAUCCGUGGGGCGGCGUUGUUGGUGAUGAUUUAUCCUUCACGAUGCCGAACUCUUUUUCGGCUCGUCGAGAUGAUGAUCCGAAGAAGAUGAGCUCGGCUCAAUAAAGCGACGACGUGUCUAGCGCAGGUCUGCAGCCGUGGAGCAAUGUUACCGGACUGGUUUGACACCAGCGUGAUGGUGAAGAGUAUCUCAGUGAAGGCUUAAAAUUUUAUGGGCCCGUGUUAAGAACAAAGCACAAUACCCUAGAAGAAAAUUCCUUUAAAAAGGUUGUCCAACGUCACGUUGAUAAAGAAACAUGAAUUCGGGUUGGAUCCGUAUUCGCGUAGAAAACAGAUCAGAAAAUUGGUCCACUUAUUGGAAGGAUCGCGGAGGUUGAACCGUCGGAUCGAGCUGAAAUUUUGAGGGGUGGUAGAUAUGGGAAUUCCACAGCAGAUGAACGGUUGGAUCUUCCAAAGGACCUCCGAGAUUGGCUCUGGACACCACGCCUUAACUCGUCCAGAUUCCCGUCCAGAUUUGACAGGGCUCUGGUAUAUCAUAGAUUGCCGGAGAUUCCUCCUUCGAAACUCGACGAAAUUUUGCAUGGUUGUUGUAGACUUAAUUCAGCACAUUUCCACCGAAGCAAUCGUUAAAAUGACACUCAAGGAGGCGGUGGCGGCGGAUACAAGUUCGCUGUCCAUAAAAACAGCACGGUCGCUCAUGGGCAAUAUUGACGUUAAGCCCCCAGGCCCCAUGAAUGAUUCCUCCAUGAUCUUGAGAGAGAUCGGAGUUUAUGUUGAUGUAGGUCAUCAUCCGAACAUGACGAUCUGACGUGGAGUGCAGUCCUCGGUCGAGCCGGUGACGAAGAAGUCGACAUCGCAGUUAAUCUGCAGACGAGCCAUCGAUCCUUCAUUGAUCUCAUAGCGGAGCUCUCAAUGAAAGCACCAUUGUCGGUGUCAAAACCGGCAGAUCUCGGGUAGGGAAUCCCGAGUUGUGUGUCAUGGAUCGAUGGGUAACAGGAGACAUGGGACACGAUGUUUACCCAGGUUUGGGCCCUAUUAAUGGAGGUAAUACCAUACUUCCUGCUUGAUUGAUCUUGAUGAAUAUAGAGAUUACAAGAGUUGAUCUACCCUGAGAUCAUAUGUUGUGGUCUAAACCCUAGGGGUAUGAUGAUUAAUGUCAUAAUAAUCUAUCGACUAACCUGGUCUUGGCUUAUAUAAUGUACCAGAGGCCUAGGAUAACAAGAGUCCUAGCCGAAUACGUAGGUGGGGAGGAGUCCUUGUCUUGAUCACAAAGUCUUGUGGAAUACUCCUUGUAUGCGGGAUGGGCUGGCCGAAGUGGCCCAUGAGUGAACCGCCAUGGGGGUCCUCGGCCCGAUCCACCUGGUCGGGAGACGAUGUGGUGAGUACCCCCUAGUCCAGGACAUCGUCAACCGCCCUCAAGUGGGCGAGGGCGGACUGCGUCCGCGAGCAGAUGGGCGAGGGUCGUUCUUAAGUUACUUUAAUUUGUGUUUUUAAGUUUUUGUACAAAUAUCAAUGAAAUCGCCUAGUUUGUAUGAUUUUGUCGUGUUUGGCCGAUUUUCUUUUUCAAAAAAUGGCGUCAUGGGGGUGACCUGGGGGUGGUGGCUAGGAACCCGAUCGCCACCACGCCGAAAUAAUUGCCGGUUCACGCCCAGUCGGAGCUAUUUCAAGCCCCUAGGGGGCGAACGGCUGGAAGUGGACUCCUCGUGCAUGGCAUGCCCGACUUGGCUCGUUUCUUGGACGUCUUGGAUUUGCUCCGUCCAGUGCUGACACGUCUUUGUUUAUGUUCCAACGUCCAGGGGUUACUUGAAGGAAAUAUGCCCUAGUGGCAAUAAUAAAGUUGUUAUUUAUAUUUCCUUAUAUCAUGAUAAAUGUUUAUUAUUCAUGCUAGAAUUGUAUUAACCGGAAACUUAGUACAUGUGUGAAUACAUAGACAAACAGAGUGUCCCUAGUAUGCCUCUACUUGACUAUCUCGUUAAUCAAAGAUGGUUAAGUUUCCUGACCAUAGACAUGUGUUGUCAUUUGAUGAACGGGAUCACAUCAUUAGAGAAUGAUGUGAUGGACAAGACCCAUCCGUUAGCUUCGCAUAAUGAUCGUUUAGUUUUAUUGCUAUUGCUUUCUUCAUGACUUAUACAUAUUCCUCUGACUAUGAGAUUAUGCAACUCCCGAAUACUGAAGGAACACUUUGUGUGCUAUCAAACGUCACAACAUAACUGGGUGAUUAUAAAGAUGCUCUACAGGUGUCUCCGAUGGUGUUUGUUGAGUUGGCAUAGCUCGAGAUUAGGAUUUGUCACUCCAUGUAUCGGACAGGUAUCUCUAGUCCCUCUCGGUAAUGCACAUCACUAUAAGCCUUGCAAGCAAUGUGACUAAUGAGUUAGUUACGGGAUGAUGCACUACAGAACGAGUAAAGAGACUUGCCGAUAACGAGAUUGAACUAGGUAUGAUGAUACCGACGAUCGAAUCUCGGGCAAGUAACAUACCGAUGACAAAGGGAAUAACGUAUGUUGUUAUGCGGUUUGACCGAUAAAGAUCUUCGUAGAAUAUGUAGGAGCCAAUAUGAGCAUCCAGGUUCCGCUAUUGGUAAUUGACCGGACAUGUGUCUCGGUCAUGUCUACAUAGUUCUCGAACCCGUAGGGUCCGCACGCUUAACGUUCGAUGAUGAUUUGUAUUAUGAGUUAUGUGAUUUGAUGACCGAAGUUUGUUCCGAGUCCCAGAUGAGAUCACGGACAUGACGAGGAGUCUCGAAAUGGUCGAGAGGUAAAGAUUGAUAUAUUGGACGAAGGUAUUCGGACACCGGUAAGGUUUCGGGACGUUUCGGAUAUUUAUCGGGAACCGAGGGGUUACCGGAACCCCCCGGGGAAGUUAUGGGCCUUGAUGGGACAUAAGGGAGUAGGAGAGGGAAGGCCACAAGGUGGCGCGCGCCCCUCCCCAUGGCAGUCUGAAUUGGACUAGGGGGAUGGGGCGCGGCCCCAUCUUUCCUUCCCCUCUCCCUCUCCUUCCCUCCUUCCCCCUCUUGGAAUAGGAAAAGAGGGGGCGAAUCCUACUACGUUUGGUGUCCUAGUAGGACACCCCCUUGGCGCGCCUCCCCCUUGGCCGACCUCCUCCUCCCCCUCCUUUAUAUACGUGGCAGGGGGCACCCCAUAGCAGAACAGACAAUCUGUUAGCCGUGUGCGGUGCCCCGCUCCACAGUUUAACACCUCGGUCAUAUCGUCAUGGUGUUUAGGCGGAGCCAUGCGCCAGGAACUUCAUCAUCAAUGUCGCCAUGCCGUCGUGCUGAUAGAACUCUCCCUCGUCCUCAACUGGAUCAAGAGCUUGAGGGACGUCAUCCUGCUGAACAUGUGCUGAACACGAAGCUGCCGUACGUUCGGUACUUGGGUCAGUUGGAUCGUGAAGACGUUCGACUACAUCAACCGCGUUACUAAAUGCUUCCACUUUCGGUCUACGAGGGUACGUUGCUACCUCUUGAGCAUGCGUUGGUUUCCCCGUGAAGAGGAAAGGGUGAUGCAGCAAAGUAGCGUAAGUAUUUCCCUCAGUUUUUGAGAACCAAGGUAUCAAUCCAGUAGGAGGCCACAUGCAAGUCCCUCGUACCUACACAAACAAAUAAGAACCUUGCAACCAACGCGAUAAAGGGGUUGUCAAUCCCUUCACGGCCACUUGCAAAAGUGAGAUCUGAUAGAGAUGAUAAGAUAAUAUUUUUGGUAUUUUUAUGAUAAAGACUAAAAGUAAAUAUUGCAAAAUAAACGGCGACAGAAAUAGCUAGUUGACGGGAGAUUAAUAUGAUGGAAAAUAGACCCGGGGGACAUAGGUUUCACUAGUGGCUUCUCUCAAGAUAGCAUAAGUAUUACGGUGGGUGAACAAAUUACUGUCGAGCAACUGAUAGAAAAGUGCAUAAUUAUGAGAAUAUCUAGGCAUGAUCAUGUAUAUAGGCAUCAUGUCCGCGACAAGUAGACGACUCCUGCCUGCAUCUACUACUAUUACUCCACACAUCGACCGCUAUCCAGCAUGCAUCUAGAGUAUUAAGUUCAUAAGAACAGAGUAACGCAUUAGGCAAGAUGACAUUAUGUAGAGGGAUAAACUCAAGCAAUAUGAUAUAAACCCCAUCUUUUUAUCCUCGAUGGCAACGAUACAAUACGUGUCGUUUCCCCUUCUGUCACUGGGAUCGAGCAACGCAAGAUUGAACCCAAAGCUAAGCACUUCUCCCAUUGCAAGAAAGAUCAAUCUAGUAGGCCAAACCAAACUGAUAAUUCGAAGAGACUUGCAAAGAUAACCAAUCAUACAUAAAAGAAUUCAGAGAAGAUUCAAAUAUUGUUCAUAGAUAAUCACUAGUAGAAAAAGGGCCUUUAGUAACCGGGACUAAAGGGUCGUUACUAAAGCCUCCCCCUUUAGUCCCGGUUCUUACAUGAACCGGGACUAAAGGCCCUCCACGUGGCCGCUGCGUGGAGGUCCACCUUUAGUCCCGGUUGGUAACACCAACCGGUACUAAAGGAAAUUUUAUGAUUUUUUUUUGAAUUUUUUUAUUUUCAAAUUUCUGAAUUAUUUUAACCUCUAAUCUCUAAUCACCCCUCAUCACUGCUCAAUUUAACCUCUAAUCUCUAAUCACCCCUCAUCAUUCCAAAUCAUCUAACUUCCCGGACGGUCACCCAUCCUCUCACUACUCCAGCCUGAGCACGCUUAACUUCCGGGUUCUAUUCUCCCUCGUUUCCAAGUCUGCACUUGUUGUUUUCCUGACAAUAGUAAGAUGUCAAUCCUAUUAACCCUCAGUAAUUUAGCUUAAGCAUGAAGUCACACAUUUCACUGUUUGAGUUUGAAACUAUUGUUCUAAAAAACAAUAAUUAUUUAGUAACACUAAUUUUUCUUGAAUAAGUAGUUUGACCAUAGUUUGACCACAGUUUGACCAGAUUUGACCAAAAUUCAAAAAAACUGAAAUAAUUAUUUAGUAACACUAAUAUUUCUUAAAUAAUUAGUUUGACCAUUGUUUGACCACAGUUUGACCAAAUUUGACCAAAAUUCAAAAAAAACUGAAAUAAUUAUUUAGUAACACUAAUAUUCUUGAAUAAUUAUUUAGUAACACUAAUACUUCUUGAAUAAGUAGUUUGACCAUAGUUUGACCAGAUUUAACAAAAAUUCAAAAAAAUCUGAAAUUUGAGCAUAACUUUUUUCCUUUUAGAAUUUGAGGAUUCUAAAAAUUUGCAAACAGGCCAUAGGCCGUCAAAAUCGGAUGCGGAUUUUCGUGCUGAACCUUUUGAUAUAUUAUACGUUUUUUUCUGACAUCUUAUGCAAAAGUUAUAGCCGUUUUACAUUUUCCCUACACUUUUUUGCAAAACAUGUCCAAAUUUAAGUUUUUAAAUUUUCCUAACUAGUACAUGUAGUAACAUAACUACAUCUGGAAGGAUUUUAAUUUUUGAAGUUUUUAUAAUUUUCUUUUGCUUUUUACAAAACUGAAAAGGCGAUCCACUUGGGGGGGGGGGGUAGAGUUUGAAAAUGGGACCUUUAGUACCGGUUCGUGCCAUGAACCGGUACUAAUGCCUCAAACCCCAUUAGUACCGGUUGGUGGCUCGAACCGGGACUAAAGGUCUAACCUUUAGUACCGGUUGGUGCCACGAACCGGUACUAAUGGGCAUCGCACCCUUUAGUCCCGGUUCGUGGCACCAACCGGGACUAAAGGUCCCAUUUGAGCCGGGACUAAUGCCUGUACGGUGCCCUAGCCGCUCCAACUGGGACUAAUGCUCACAUUAGUCCCGGUUCGUAAUGCAACCGGGAUUAAUGCUCUUUUCUGGCCGAACCAAAGCCCUGUUUUCUACUAGUGAAUCUUGAUCAUAAACCCACAAUUCAUCGGAUCUCGACAAACACACCGCAAAAAAGAGUUACAUCGAAUAGAUCUCCAAGAAGAUCGAGGAGAACUUUGUAUUGAGAUCCAAAGAGAGAGAAGAAGCCAUGUAGCUAAUAACUAUGGACCCGAAGGUCUGUGGUAAACUACUCACACAUCAUCGGAGAGGCUAUGGUGUUGAUGUAGAAGCCCUCUGUGAUCGAUUCCCCCUCCGGCGGAGCACCGGAAAAGGCCCCAAGGUGGGAUCUCACGGGUACAUAAGGUUGCGGCGGUGGAAAUAGGGUUUCGUGGUGCUCCUGGAUGGUUUCGGGAUACGUAGGUAUAUAUAGGAGGAAGAAGUAGGUCGGUGGAGCCACGAGGGGCCCACGAGGGUGGGGGCGCGCCCAGUGGGCAUGCGCGCCUCCCUGCCUCGUGGCCUCCUCGUUGAUUUCUUGACGUCCACUCCAAGUCAUCUGGAUCACGUUUGUUCCAAAAAUCACACUCCCGAAGGUUUCAUUCCGUUUGGACUCUGUUUGAUAUUCCUUUUCUGUGAAACACUGAAAUAGGCAAAAAAACAGCAAUUUGCACUGGGCCUUGGGUUAAUAGGUUAGUCCCAAAAAUAAUAUAGAAGUGUAUAAUAAAGCCCAUUAAACAUCGAAAACAGAAUAUAUAAUAGCAUGGAGCAAUCAAAAAUUAUAGAUACGUUGGAGACGUAUCAUACGUGGACACGCUCUCCCAUCUCGUUGCUAUGCUUCUCCUAGAUAGAUCUUGCUUGAUCGUAGGAAAUUUUUUGAAUUACUACGUUCCCCAACAUUACUAUGUACCUGUUGGUUUAUGUUGAUGACAUUAUUUUUACCAGCUCCUCAGUGACUGUCGCUGAUCGUCUGCUGUCUGCUCUGAGUGGUCAUUUUGCUGUCAAUGAUCUGGGUGCUCUCCAUUAAUUCCUUGGUCUGGAAGUUUCACGGUCCCCUACUGGCCUGUCUCUCACUCAGCAUAAGUAUUCCUUGGACUUGUUGCGACGUGCUGGUAUGUUGCAAUGCAAGAAUGCUACCACCCCUACGUCUACGACUGAUCGGUUAUCAGCCUUGGAUGGUGCCUUCCUUCCUUCAGAUGAUGCUACAGAGUACCGCAGUAUUGUUGGUGGCUUGCAGUACUUGACUAUCACACGGCCGGAUAUCUCCUAUGCGGUCAACCGUGUGUGCCAGUAUCUUCAUGCUCCUCGGAGUUCACACUAGUCAGUUGUGAAGCGUAUACUGCGUUAUCUCUCUCAUACCAUCUCCUAUGGCUUGCAUCUUCGGUCUACCUCCUCGAAUGCUGUCUCGGCAUUCUCUGAUGUAGAUUGGGCUGGGAGCCUAGAUGACCGGCGAUCAAAGGGGGGCUACGUUGUCUUCUUUGGUUGCAACUUGAUCCCCUGGAGUGAGCGCAAGCAGGCUACAGUAUCUCGGAGUAGCAAUGAAGCAGAGUACAAGGCGGUUGUCAAUGCCACGGCUGAGCUUAUUUGGGUACAGUCUCUGUUGAGAGAGUUGGGAGUCUCUCAAGAGCAACCACGGGUUCUUUGGUGUGAUAAUAUUGGUGUGACGUAUCUCUCAUCUAAUCCAGUUUUCAUGCUCGUACCAAGCACAUCGAAGUUGAGUAUCACUUUGUGAGGGAACAUGUUGCAUAGAAGGUUCUUCAUAUCAAGUUCAUCUCCUCCAAAGAUCACCUUGCCGGCAUCUUCACGAAGCCACUUCCACAACCUCAGUUUGAAGGUUGUAGGCGCAGUCUUAACUUGCUUUGUACUUCAGGCCACAGUUAAGCACUAGUGGAAAAAAAGCCAAGCUAUGGCGUGGCAAAUAGUGCCUUGCUGGCGUAGACACCCAACGCCACCAAUAUGGCGCCAUUGUUAAGAAAUACUCGUGACGCGGGUUGACACAUUAGCAGUAUCAUACAUUGUGCUGGCGUGUAACCAGCACCAGCACUAAGUUCAUCAUAACUCUGUCGUCCCUACUUGUCCAACGCCAGCAAAUGGUUUUUUUGGUAAUAAAUUUUUUUGCUCGUCCACACUAGCUACUUAGUUAAUAGAUAAUAUUGAACACAAUAUACUCAUCAACACUAGGUACUUACUUAAUAUAUAGUCAUUACAGAAGAGGCUCAUCAACUCAACAAGUUGAUAUGAAUUAAACUUCACAAAAGUUGCUCACUCAAGUGCUCUAGUUACUCGAUCAUCAACAAAUAAUAAGAUGAACUAGUUUUCAUCAAGGAGUAUGCCCAGCUAGAGAAGCUUCUUUCUAUCCCCCUCUCCUUCUCUACUGAAAUGGUCUAUGUCCAUCUUCAGGUCAAUCCUCUGAGCCCUGAGGUGUCUCCUCUCCUCCUUCAGUUUAUCCCGAUCCUCGACGAGCUUAUCCCUCUCGUCUCUAAGAUGAUUAGUCUCCUGAACGAGCUAAACAGUCUCCUUGUGUAGCUAUUUAAUCUCCCCCUUUAGCUCAACAUUUUCCCCUUGCACGCUCUUGAUGACGUACUCAUAAGUGUUUAAGAAUUCAUUGUUGGCCUUGUCCACAUCACACACCGACUCAUUGUUACCUCCAGAAUUGGCCAUGACCUACAAACACAACGCGUAUACGAUCAAGAUAAUAUGCAAUUUCAUUUCACUCAAUAAAUAUUGGAAUGUAUAGAACUAAUUAAACUAGAUAGCAUGUAUAGAAAUAAUUAAACUAGAUAGCAAUGUAACGUAUAGAACUAUUGGAUUGUGACUAUAUUUGCCACACCUAACUUGGAGCAUUACUUUCGAGUGGAAAUUUUCUUUGGACACUCAACUAUUUUGCCACACCUAACUUGGAGCAUUACUUUCAAGUGGAAAUUUUCUUUGGUGAAAAAGUAGUACACAAUAGAUUUUCCCCAAGGUAUUUAUGGAUUACAACAGCAACUCAAACACUUUGUUUCAGAAUUUAAAAUGCUUCCAAAGAUGAUGACUUAAAAAAUAUAUCUACCUUAAUUUGAUUGACAGAUUGGACUUCUAGUUUCUACAAAGAUUGAAAAAUAUAUCUACCUUAAUUCUAGACAAGUACAACACAUUGUCACUGCCUAGGAGUGAUGAACCCCAACGGUGCAAAUAAAAAAUUACAGUGGCAGUGACCUACAACAAAAGAGGGAGGGAUGAUAUGCUCACCUGGGUUGGAGUCGAGGGUCGCCUACAGUCUACUCCGUCGCCGUCCCUUGCUACCGUCGCCGAAACCCUAGCAGAUGAGAGUGGGAGGCUCAGAUGUGAAACACACCUCUAAUUAAAAAAAUCCAAAUGGUCCAUAUGAGAGUGGGAGGCUCAUAUGUGUACCUCAGGACCGGAGAAGGACGGCAAUCGCCGGAAUCGGCCGAAAUCGAAGCGGCACGACGAGCGGCGAGAGACGGAGAGAAAAUGGAACGGAACAGAGCAGCAGGGCAGAGAGAGGGAGUGGGUCGAGGGGGCCUUUGCCCCCGUUGGUUUUGACCCCCACGGGAUUCUAAUACUAUUUGGGCUUGCCCAAUAAGAAAAAAGAUCAUCACCUAAAAAAUGUCAUCUCAAAACUAUAUAUUUCAAGUCUAAAAAUAAAAAGGAAAAAACUAAAUUAAACAAAAGUAAACAAUAAUAUACUAUUAAAAAGAUCACCACAUAAAAAACUAAAAAGAAAAAAAUUGGAAGUGUCAAACUACAUAUUUGAAGGCACAAAACUAUAUAUUUCAAGUCUUAAACUAAAAAGGGAAAAAAGUAAAUUUAAAGUCCCAAAUUACAUAUUUUUAAAAAUGUCAUUAUUUCCAUUUAAAAUAAUAGAAAUUUAAUAAAAGUAAACUAUAAUAUACUAAAAAAAAGAACACCACAUAAAAAACUAAAAAGAAAAAAUUGGAAGUGUGCAACUACAUAUUUGAAGGCUCAAAAACUAUAUAUUUCAAGUCUUAAACUAAAAAGGAAAAAAAUAAAUUGAAAGUCUCAAAGUACAUAUUUUAAAAAAUGUCAUUAUUUCUAUUUAAAAUAAUAGAAAUUUAAUAAAAGUAAACUAUAAUAUACUAUAAAAAAUAUACCAAAAAAUAGUAAUAUAAGAAUGUUGGCAUUGACAAAAUAACAAUACUGGCGUCGGUUACAACAGCACGUCACAACUAAAUAUAAUAGUGCUGGCGUUCCAUACUAUUCCACGACAGCAAUAUAUUACGCCUGAUACAAAUUGUUGAUCCCAUAUAUUUUUGAUGCUACCCUGUUUCCAACGCCACCACUAUGCCCCUACUAAUGUCGUUCCAAAUAAGCCAAUGCCAUCACUAUUUGAAAAAAAUAGUGGUGUCGUUGGUUGUAAAUGGCGCGCCACCAAGGAAAGUUGUGGCUAGCCCUUUUUCCACUAGUGAAGAUUGAUGGAGACUGUUAGAUAAUGUUUAUACGUAGCUUCUGUGUAGACUCUGUAUAUUGUAUUUGUACACUACGUAUACCCUUAUAUAUAUGAGAUAGCCACACCCGUAUUUGGUGCUGUGUAGUUUCCCACAAACAUAACGUUUUACAGUCCUGAGAGGCCAUCCAAGGGAGUCUGUUGUAUGCUAAUGCCAUUUUGACCCUGUCUAACUAGACCUAAAGUGGCGAAGUUACUAGCAUGUCGCCAUGUCCUUGCACUAGAGAAGGAAGUUGGAGUCUAGAGGAUCGUCUUGGAGAUGGACUGCAAGAUGGUUGUGAGCAAGUUGAACUCUGAAGGGAAGGACGGCUCACCCCAUGGUCCGGCGGUUGAAGAUGUGAAGGGCAUUCUCCAAAAUUUUAUUGAGUCCAAGAUCACUUGGGUUCAUAGAGAGGUGAAUUGUAUUACCUACAUCUUAGAUAAUCAACAAUGUCGGAAUGAGUUGUGAAAAACAUGGCUUAGUGUGCCUCCGAAUUGUACUAGCGCCGUUUGAACUCUGGCAUUGCCGAGAACUCUGAAUACAAUGGCAACCAUUCUAUCUAAAAAAAUGAUUCUUUACAGGUGUCUUUUGCCUUAUCAAUAAAUCGAGUAUAAAGAAUUCGGUUCAAAUUAGAAGCAAGGUGAUUACCAACAUACUUAUUUUAUUCCUUAUCUAUAUCUUAAUGCAUGGCUAUAAUAAGAUGAUAUAUCUUUCGUCAAAAAGUUGCUAGUAUUACUUUUAUUUGACUAGGGAACUAAAUCAUGACUACUACUACCUCUGUCCUGAUUUAUUAGGGCUCCUUGUAGUUUGGGUCAAACUUUGACAUUUGAUUUAACUAUUAAAAAAUAAGUUAUAUACUCUAAGAAUAGUAUCAUCGAAAUCCUCUUUCAAAUAUGAACCAAACAAUAUAAGUUUUGUGACAUACAACUUAUAAUUUUGUUAGUCAAAUAUACGGUCAAAGUUGGACACAAAAUACGAAAGGGACUAAUAAACCCAGACGGAGGUAGUAAUAGUACUCCCUCCGGAACAAAUAAAUGCACUACCAAAUAGUAAGUAUAUAUUUGUUUCUAAAUAUAAGAAUAUUACUAUUAAAUACUACUAUACCAAAGAUAUAAGAAUAGUAAAUACUAGUAUACCAAAGAUAUACCUAAAUAUAAUAAUAUUUAAUAGUAGUAUACUGAAGAUAAUCUAUAGUUAAAUNNNNNNNNNNNNNNNNNNNNNNNNNNNNNNNNNNNNNNNNNNNNNNNNNNNNNNNNNNNNNNNNNNNNNNNNNNNNNNNNNNNNNNNNNNNNNNNNNNNNNNNNNNNNNNNNNNNNNNNNNNNNNNNNNNNNNNNNNNNNNNNNNNNNNNNNNNNNNNNNNNNNNNNNNNNNNNNNNNNNNNNNNNNNNNNNNNNNNNNNNNNNNNNNNNNNNNNNNNNNNNNNNNNNNNNNNNNNNNNNNNNNNNNNNNNNNNNNNNNNNNNNNNNNNNNNNNNNNNNNNNNNNNNNNNNNNNNNNNNNNNNNNNNNNNNNNNNNNNNNNUGUUGCUAAAUAUAAGAAUAUUACUAUUAAAUACCAGUAUACCAAAUAUAUAUCUAAUAGUAUACCAAAGAUAUACCAAAAUAUAAGAAUAUUUAAUAGAAAUAUACCAAAGAUAUGCUACUAUUAAAUGCUGGUAUUAAAUAAAUAAAUCUGUAGUUCAACACGCGGUCCCCACCUUGGCCCGUGCCUUCCGUUUCAGUUCAUAAAGGGCAACAUAUGCUUCUGCUCCUCGCUCACAUUCUUCUCAUCCCAAUCUCCUCGACCCACUCCGCGCGUGUGCUCGACCGAUCCACCGCGAUGUCUAGCUCCGGCAUCAACGCCAUACCCGCAGCCAACCACGAGGAGCAGAGCCUGGCGGCGCCCGCCCCGCCCCCUACGGCCGCCGUCGCCGAGGGGAAAGGGAAGGUGCUUGCGCAACAGGCGCCUGCGCCGGUGGUUCGCAAGCGCAAGUCCGGCAGAGACCCGCAGAAAAGCCCGCCCCAAGCGGCCACCAGAGAGGAGCUGGAAUCCCGGGAGUCCCGAGAAGGCCCCUUGAAGGUCCUUGCGCUCCCGGCGCCAGGGGCCCCGUGUACUCACGCUGUCUCCGGCGACAAGAUGAUGAGACGCGCUCGCGCCCGCACCCUGGAUGCAAAUGCUGUCUCCAACGACAAGAUGGUGAGCCGCGCUCGCGCCCCCACCCUUCAUGCAAACCCUGUCUCCGAUGACAAGAUGGUGAGCCGCACUCGCUUCCCCCUCUCCUACUAGUGAUUUGAAGUUAACCGGUGCCUAAUGAUUUGAAGUUACUGACAAUCUUUGAUCUAGUCAUGUGAAUUAGUACUAGUGCUUACUGAAUUACCUGAUGCGUAUGUGCAAGAACUACGUGGUGUGUAUAUGUCCUUGGACUUUCUAAUCGCUGGGUUCUCUUGUGGCAGAUGGACGGGAAAAAUGAGAUGGCGCCGGUCCAGGGGGUGCUGCCCAUGCGGGGAAGCAUCGCGGCUUCAAGCUCGGUUGGUAAGUACUCCAUACUGGUUUUUCUGUCAGUAUCACGGCUGUUUUUUGUCAUCAUUAGUAUAAUGAUAUUGGACUGAAGCUCGUCAACUCUUUCGAUGCUGUAUUUUUGGCAUCAUUAGUAUACUGAUAUUGGACUAAAGUUGGUUAGCUCUUUCCAUGCUGGACUUUUGGCAUCAUUAGUAUACUGAUAUUGGACUGAAGCUUGUUAGCUCUGUCCAUGCUCGGUUUUUUGUCAUCAUUAGUAUAGUGAUAUAUUGGACUGAAGCUGCACAUGUUUUGUUUCCAUUAACGUUGGUCUAGCAGUGCUACGCGUCAGUCGGCCGAUCGUAGCCGCCAUACAAGCCUUAUUUUAAUCAAGUUCCACCCGUCACUGCAUAUAUUAACGUUGGUUUUGGCACCAGCUGCGUAUACAAACGCGAGCACCGGCACUGUGUGGCAGCAUGGAAGACAUAUGAACUGUGAUAAGAAACAUAAGAAACAUGCAAUGGCUAGAAACAUCUCCGUACAAAAAAAAUUGGCAUGUUAUAGGUGUCAACAAAAUUAGUCGGCUUGCCAGCCGUCGGAUCUGACACGUGAAGCAUUGGAUCACACCACGCGGCAGCUGAGAGAGUGGAACCCGUCUUCCUCCAUAGCCUCCACAAAACUUGUUUAUCCCCCACCCCUCCCCCAUCGUUGCAAUAGACUAUUAUGUUGUUGCCGCGGCCUUCCUCUUCUCUCGCUCAGCAGCACCUCCCUCUCGUCCUUUCUAACACAGCAAAGAAGAAGGAGGAAGAAGAAGGAUGCAAGGACACAAGUGGUUUUGCCGGAGCACGAACUCCGCCCGCCGCACGAACGGCGUCCUUUUCUUUCCCUGAGCCCGAACUCAGUACAAUCCGCAAGCUACAACAGAGGAGAGAGCUGGCCUUAUACCCGCGCGACGCACGCGCUACGCCACGCUCUGCACGCAUGCACACCCCACGUCCCGCGCUUCCAGACCCACUCACCCGACGCGCACGUAUGCAGUCGCCGUAGGCCGAUUCCAGCGCCCCGACGUGGUCGCCACUCCGUUUCUGUCGCCUACACACAACGGCCCACGCGCUCGAACGCGAGGACACACACACACACGCACAGAAACACACACACAUGCACGGCCAGGGACCCGGCGCGUCCUAGCUCACACCCGACGCGUCCUGUGGUGGCUUAUGCCCAACACUCACUCCCCUAAGCCACGAACUACAGCAGGUGAGUCCAUCGUCGUCGAUGUCGCCAUGGCCGUCGCACCGCACCGCUGCGGCCUCCGCCGUGCCGUCGACGUCGUUGUAGCCGCCGCCGCCCUAACGUCGCUGCCACGCCUGCCACCGUGCCGCUGUGCCCUUCGCGUGCACUCCCCACGUCCCCGCGCUCCCGGCCCGCGCUCCCGCCGCGCACGUACGCGGUCUGCGCAACCAGGUCCAGUGCCUCGACGCGGUUCACUCCCGCGGUCCCGACGCGCCCAACACGUCCGGUGCGCACCCAUAACACGCACCGGUCACGCCCGGCUCGCCACCGCGCUUAUUGCCCUGCACCGCUGCGCCGUCAAACGCAGCGCAGCGCCUCCACGGUCGUCGCGCCGAGCCGCCGCGGCCUCUGCGACACCACGCAGGUCCUCCGCGACCUCCUCGUCUCCGCGACCGCCGCUGCUCGCCGCGCGCACGGCAUCACGCCACCCCGCCGUGGACUCGCCGCGCGUUGCCGACGCGCCCCGGCAUCGCGCCACACCGCCGUGGACUCGCCGCGCGUUUCCGAGACCUUCAUGUCUGCCACGCGCCACGCGCGUCGCGAACGCCGCCGCGCGCCAUGGCCGCCCCCCGAACCUGUGGCUCUGAAUACCAAUUUUUGUUGCCGCGGCCUUCCUCUUCCUCUCGCUCAGCAGCACCUCCCUCUCGUCCUUUCUAACACAGCAAAGAAGAAGAAGGAGGAAGAAGAAGGACGCAAGGACACAAGUGAUUUUGCCGGAGCAUGAACUCCGCCCGCCGCACGAAUGGCGUCCUUUUCUUUCCCUGAGUCCGAACUCAGUACAAUCCGCAAGCUACAACAGAGGAGAGAGCUGGCCUUAUACCCGCGUGCACGCACGCGCUACGCCACGCUCUGCACGCAUGCACACCCCACGUCCCGCGCUUCCAGACCCACUCACCCGACGUGCAUGUACGCAGUCGCCGUAGGCCGAUUCCAGCGCCCCGACGUGGUCGCCACUCCGUUUAUGUCGCCUACAGACAACGGCCCACGCCCUCGAACGCGAGGACACACACGCACGCACAGACACACACACACGCACGGCCAUGGACCCGGCGCGUCCUGGCUCGCACCCGACGCGUCCUGCGGUGGCUUAUGCCCAACAAUUACGUCAGCCCCUCGCAGCACCUCACGUCCAUGCUCUGGCGCAUCCCUGAUGUCGCCUGGUAUCAUGCAAGCACUAUUACAGACGGCGCGCCGGCGAGGAACAUUGUCUUACAACCAAGGUAGUUGCAUUGAUGCGACCACAAGCCUCACCCCCUUGUUGCAUGGGUCGUGGCUUGUGGCACUGGUCGUCGGCUAUAACACCCCCCGUGAGAACCUGCAGUUGCACCACUGCGACAACCCCGUGGGUCUAUGCAUGGUGGAAAUAGAGCGAAUGGAUAUGGUGAAGAGAGAGGAAUACAAGUGAGGGGCAUCUGGCGCUAGAGCGAGCUGACUCAUUUCCUCCUAAACCAGUCUGUUGAAUAUUUCCAUUUUCUUUUGAGAAACCUCGUAAAAACGUUGCAACAUGCGAGCAUGUCUAUACAAAAAAAAGUAGAUAUAGAACACAUACUCAUUAACUGCAAGAAAUCAGUGAAAAAACACAAUGUAUACACGCCUGAACCAAUGGACCAUUGGCAUGCAUCUUCCAACUCUUCCUAGGUUACGCCCACCCGCGAACCGUUCAAUUCUGUCACAGAUCAUUGCCAAAUCAACCACCAACUUGGUUCCUGCUCUCGUCUCCUCUCCCCAUCCUUUGCAACAUACACCCAUGUUUCUCAGCAAUAGACUCACUUGGAGGCCACAAUGGUGGCCAUGGUAGGCUAGUGAAAAGCACAAUGGUGGUCAGCCUUACAACACUAAACACGACACUAAUUGCAACACGUGAUAACCCCAAAUUUGUAGCACCGGUGCACCGUUUUGCGGCAAAGUAAAAAAUGCCAACGACCUGCCAUGCUGCAUCGAUGCCUUGGUCUUGCAGCAUUGUCAACCACCUUGUAGCAAUGAAAAGUUCACUGACCAUUAGCUUUGCAGCAUCACGUGACCGGCUUAUAGCACUGAACGCCCGGGCUAGCAGCACUGCGAUGAGGGAUGGUCGGCCUUGCAACAGUAUUGGUUGACAUUGCACACCUCAUCUCCAUUUUUAUGUACAUACACAUGAGUGAACUUGGAACAUCAGUAACGUAUCAACAUUAGCAAUAUUGAUGAUGAUGAAAUUUGUUUCCCCAAGUAUCAACAUUACUGAAUAAGCGAGCAACUGCACAUCCACCCCAUGAGCCAUAAUUUUUGAGCCCUACCACAACCGAUUAUAGUUGGAAAAGAGCUGACAACGAUAGUUAAAAAUGUACAUGAUCACAAUAGCUUAAAUGGUAGGGAGGGUGGACUGCAUGUGUGGAAUCAGGCUUGUCGCGUGGUCACAAGUGCCUUAUCUGACUAGCCAACAAGACAGAAGGAGGCCGCCUGGGCUCUCACUCCUGAAGCUAAGCAUAACUCCAACUCCAGACACACUCGGGGGCUACUGAAGGUGCAAUACACUAGGGGUGUCCUCUAAGUGGGAAGCCCGGUAGCAGGCCUAUCUCAAGGCCCAAGAGGCCAAGUGGAGGAUCAGCGCACGAGGGCAGCUCAUGAGCCCGGAUAAGGACCGGGAGAGCAUCUAGGCGUGCAAGCUAACAUGGCGACGGUAUGAGAUCUAGUGGAUUCCUUGUAAUCCCUAGCCCUCGUCACCUAUAUAAGGCAGGGCAAGGGGUUAUCAUUCACAUAUACUCUCAUAGACUAUACUCUCGGUGGCCUUAUACUACAUCUCCGUUGUAAAUCCUAUUAUGGGUACUAACAGUUUUACAUACUGUCGCAUAGUUUUGUUUCGACACAUUUUCUCUAGGAGUUGAAAGCAACUCAUGGUGUAAGUAUGUGUUGCUGGAAGCACUGAUUUUACUAGCACCGCCUUUCCCGCCUUGGAGAUACCUUGUCCUUCCUAUCCAAUCACUUUGCCAUUUGAGUUUUCUCUAACGUAUUUAAAAUUUGCUUCCGUUGACCUACCCACCACGGCUGCGAGCCCCAAAUAAUGCUCGCUCAAUGCCUUGGGAUCAAUACAAAAAUAUUUAAAAAAAACUUUGUCCUCCUAUUUGCUUCCCUUUCCACAGAAAGUUGAGGCUUUUUGAAGAUUUACCAUUUGUCGUGUGGCCAACUCGUAGUCAAACAGGGUCUAUUUUAAGGUCACAACGUUGAUAUUUGAUGCUUGAAGAAAUACUACACUAUCAUCUACAAACAUAAAAUGGGCUACAUGGGGGCCAGUGCUCCCAAAAUGUACACCAUUGAUCUCCUUAUCUUUGAGAAUUCAUGAGCAAUGCCAAAAAAUAAACAAAUGGGGGGAUUGUGGGUCUCCUUGUCAGAUCCCUCUUGAUAGUGUAAAAAUGACAGAGCAACCUCCAUUCAAUUUGACAGGAAUCCUGGUCGAGGUAACAGAUGUCAUAGUCAUCAAGAUCCACCUAUUUGAGAAACCAAGUGCCCUCAUCAUGAGAUUGUGGAAAAUCCAAACCACCCUCUUGUAGGCCUGCAUCAUGUCUAGUUUAAUAGCUAACAUUGGAUUUUUCUAUUUGUUGACCUGAUUGCAUGCACACACUCAUACGUGACCAACACAUUGUCUGUGAUAAGCCUACCCGAAAUAAAUAUACUUUGCUCCUCCCAGAUCAUUAUGGACAGGAGAACAUUCAAACCAUUCACUAGGCCUUUGAAGCAAUAUGACUGAGUGUGUUCUAUAAGCUGAUUGAUCCAAUUUGAGGAAGUAUAUCCAGUGAGUUAAUUUUUAGGAUCAGGACUAGAACCAUAUCACUGAAGUUUGCCGAUACAUCAUUUUUUAGCAACGACUAGUGAAAUUGGUAAACAUAGUCGAGAGGUUGUGUGGCACAACGCUUUUGUCAGUCUAAUUUAGAAUGGUGCAUUCUCAAUUUCUUCAUCCAUCACAUCCGCGUCCACCCUCAAGAAAACAACCAAGCAUAGAAAUCGGCCGACAUCUUCCCCAUCUCAUUGUCAGUAGUACAUCUCAUGCCAUCCGCGCUCAUGUUUUGUUCGUCUUCCUCGAGCAAUUCCAAUCGAGCAUGUUGCAUAUACAUUAUUUCUUCCCAUGCAUGAGCCAGAUGAAGCUACGCUUCAAUCUCGUGGAUCUCCACCAAGGAUCUGGAUCCCAAUGCUCUCUCCUUUCCAUCGAAGCUGACCUUGUGCCUAGUGAUGUCUAAACAUACGAACCAAAACACUGAGCCACUCCAAUGUUGCAUAUCAUUGGUGAUAUUGUUAAGCUUCCUGUAUAACGUACUCUGGCCGAAAUUGUUGUCACAUGCACACUCCCACGCAUCCAUGGGGCAUCCGCCUCUCCUCAAAUGUUAACGCCCUCUUCUUCCUUGUGGUAAUGAACAAUUGGUCUAGCGCUCUAAUAAUGAGUGAAUCAUGGCCUGGUUCUCCGUGAGAACAUGUUCAAUGGAUGUAUCCUAGAAUGAGUGUAUGAAAUCAUCAUUGCAUGGACCCCUUCCCAGAUGUACCUAAAUGUUCUCAUCAUCAUCCCUUUUGUUGUCCCGUGUGUACUAGUAGCUACUAAAACAGAGGUUUGAAAAGUUGUUAUUGGCUACGCUUCCAUUUGUGUGAAACUCCUCAAGUAAUCUCCUGGUUGUUGUGAUUGAAAGAAUACUUUGUUGAGGUAUCACUGUCACAGAGAAAUUUAUUAUCAGGAUCUAGUCUCUCGAAACCUCCGUUAGCUACACAAAUUUGCUUCAAUCUCUCUUCCUAUCCAGUAGCUUUAGCUGAUAAUCCUUGUGAUGCCUUUGGUGAUCACCACCACCCUUCCUCGUCUUGUGAACAAAAGUGCCUCGUGUGUGCUGCCUGGAGGUAGAUGGGUCUUCUUUGCCCAGUCGCCUUGCACCCUUUCUUCCCAUAUAGAAUUUUUUAUGUCCUCCUUCCUUUCAUGCUCCUUCCUCAGCUUCCACAUCCUUUUCAGUUGCAAAUCAUCCCUUAGUUCAUGUCACCGAUCUUGCUUGCAUUGGUCCUUCCUGGGUGUAUAAGCAUUGUAGCACUUGUGCCUAAAUGGGAGGUGGCGCAACGCUGCUUACCCCUUGUGAACAAAGAUGCACCUUCUUGACCUAGUGCUCCCAAAACUAAAAUUCCCACUUUCUAUCACCGACUUCUACUAUGUUUCUGUGUGUGAGGAGCUAUGUUCGAGUGGUGCCCUCAACCAUUCACCCAACUAGGGUGAGGAAUCAACAUGUGGUUCAAAUCUUUCAUCAACAUGUGCUGGUCUAACGCAGUCAAUCCAGAAGUGAUGUAUCUUCUCAAAUUGAAAAUCAAGACAGUCCCCUCAUCUUUCGCUGAAGAGUGGAGGAAGAAGCCUCGAACCAAUGAAACGAAUAUGAAAAUUCUAGCUCUAACUAUGAGAUGGUUCCCCCCAUAAAUCCAUCCUUCUCGAUAUCAAAUUUUACCACGUCACCAAGCCAAUUCCCGAGAGCAUUCCCAAAAGUAGACAAUGGUUUAUAUAGGGGAAGAUCCUUAAUUAUCACCCAUGGCUCCGUCAUCCAAAACAUUAUCUUCGACGGCCUAGUUUUACCAUCACAAUUCUUCAAAACCAUCACACUAAAACCAAAUUUCCACGGUCCAUUAUAUAGAGCGUGAUUCUAAACUCCGUUUUGUCGAAUCUCAAGAUGAAGAUAUUAUUGCCAAUGGCUUCCUAGUAGAGUCCCCAUGCCUGUUGCAUAGCCUUAGCAAACACGUUGAUGUUGAUUUGCGGAAGUGAGCACGCCUUUCCAACAGCUGACAACUUAGUAGGCCUCGGUCGGUCUAGAAUCCACCUCAAACAUGAGAUCUAUUAGUUCCUUUUGUGUCAAGUUCAAGGCUCCUUGUUUUUUUGAGAGAUUCGCUACCUCCUGGAAGCAUUUUCGUCUGUCAGGGACUUUGAAGAUUCUCGGCUUAUCGAUCGUUGGUCACCCGCUUCACUGGAGUUGCCUGUCCAUGCCAUGCCUGCUCUUCCGGCAUCGACCAAUAGAUGAAUAAAACCCUAACCCUAGCACUACCUGUCGGUCCCCUAUAGUCUCCCUUAGCAUUUCCUUUCAUGGUGGGCCCGCCACCAAUUAUUCCUCUCCGUCCUUCCAUUGGUACUUUUUCUGCGGUGGAGCCUUUAUGCUUCAUUUGGCUUUCUACAAUGGUGGUUGUAUCCAGCUCAUAAGUCUCCUCUAUAUGUAGGAAGCCAAGAUGUUAGCUCUUCUUUUUUUUAAGGAAAAUACGUUAGCUAAUGUACAAGUUUCGUUUGAAAGAAGUCUUGUCGCAUGUAAAGACGUCACUGUCGGUUCAAUAUCCGGCGUAUCUCGUAGUAGGGGUCCUAAGCUAGGUGUCUUGGAGCGAUGGUAACAUGGACACGGGGUUUUACCCAGCUUCUGGCUCUCUUGAUGAGAUAAUACCCUAGAUGCUGCUUUUGAUUGUAUUCAUAUGGGGUGUAGUACAGAGUACAUGUGUCUACCACGAGACUGUGGUAAUGAAUAUGAGAUUGUCUAUUGACUAGCCUGGCCUCGGUUUAUAUAACACACCGGAGGCCUAGGGUUUUAGGAGAGUCCUCGCCUUGGGCGCCAAGUCUUGUGGAGUCUUCCUUAUAUGCGACAGGGGUUGUCCGAACUGGCCCAUGAGUAUACGGUCGGCCCAAUCCAACUGAUCGGGAGACGACGUGGUGAGUACCCCCUAGUCCAGGACACCGCCAGUCACUAAGAGUGCGAUACAUAUAGGUGCAUACUUUGCGGAUGAUGCAAAUUUUAGCAGAUAUGAACAGCUCCAGGUGGACCGAGCACACAAAGAAAUCAUGGACCAUAAACGAAUAAUUUCCAAAGAAACAAAGUCGCAAAAAGAGAGACGACAUUAUCUUCAUUAUGGAAAACCCUUAUAUUUUUAAACAUUGCUUUGCUCUUUGAUUAUUAACAGGAAUCUUUUUACUAAUAUAAUAAGUGUUAAUCUUUAUAGAUAUGGAAUGUAUUUUGUUCAGUAGGUUUUAAUGAAUCAUAUCAGUUUUUGGUAUGUUAAAAUUAGAAGAAGUUCAUGCGCCUUCAAGGCAUGUCACGGUGUGUUGUUCCACCUCAAACAGGGACAUACUACAUGGUUAUUCUCCCUGCAUAUAGCCCUCUUCGCAUGCUCUUCCUCUCUCUCUCUCCAUUGUAUAUUCCAGAACUGCUGACACUACUCCAUAAUGCCUAACUGGUGAAGGUCCAGAAACACCUAGCAGUGAUGGGUUCAACAUGCUCAGUAGUCUGUACUUAGUGGAGAAGUAACAAACCACUUAGAUGAACGUGUCCGCCAGUGAUGGUCAAAUCGAAAAAGAAAAUCGGGCCAUGGCCAGUCCAAAGCUAACACCUGCCAAUAAUGUGUAGUCUCCACUACUCGAACCUUCUUCUCAUCAAUAUAUUGCACCGUCUGAUGUUUGGAGAAGCCAUAGAGUUGGGGAUCCGAAUAGAGGAAACAAUGGUGGGGAGUGUCUUGAAGAAUAGGUAACGAGAAGCCGGACGGAGAAGGCCUCGACCAUGCUGCACCAUCAGCCCAUGAGCACUGACCUGUAUAUAUGGUGCAAGGACCGAGGCAGAAAUGAACACCAUCAUCGCCUGGGUGGCAGAGGGAGUUGGACCUGGGUGUUCCUCCUCUCGGACAAACUCAAUGAAUUCUUGGAGGCAGCACCCAUGCUAGAUUCUGCAGAGAUGACAACAUUUAGAGGAGGUGGAGGGCCAGCGCUAGGUUUGUUCCUCAUAGGGUUUAUUUUCGGGGAAGAAGGGGAAGGGUAUGACAUGAUGAGUGAUUAACAAGGGAAGUGUGUGUUUCUGUGGAGGACAAAUCAUGAAGACAAGUGUGCUAGUAGCUAGAGAAGGGACUAAUGAUAGCAGGAACGAAUAAUGAGCUUAAUGUGUGGGGCUACUAGUUUUAAGUUGUGAUCUAAAUGACAGGGUAAGUAUUUAGUCACUAUCGUGUUGUGACUUGGGCUUGUAAGUGGUGGGUUGUAUAUGAGUAACAAGUAGCAUGUUUAGCCUCAAUAUUGUUCUCUGUCACUGGUAACAAUGUAUCAUUGAUGGACCACAUAUUGGGCCCGUCACUACUAACUUUUUUCGACAAAAAUAGAUUUUUAGUUAUCGUCAGAUUCAUGGCAAACCCGCCGUCCAUUACUUCUAAGUAGCACUACUGAUGGGUUGUGUGACCCACCACUAUUGAUCAAUAACUAGAGGAUAACUCAAGCAUAGUGCACAUCCGUUUCUUUGAGAUUUUGUUAGUGUUUUCUUGUUCAUGGAGACAUAUCAAUUGACCCUAACAAGUGUUCUAUUUAGGUGGGGUUGUGAGUGAAAAUGCGGGGAGCUUGGCAGCAGGGAAAAUGGCACCUAGAGGGGCUCAUGUCUCCAUGAUGAACAACCACAACUUUGAUUUGAAUGAGCUACCGACUGAACAUGAGCAGCUCCAGCAGGAGUAGCCGCCCAAAGAGCAGGAUUAGCCGCCUGUGGCACAACAUGAGCUUUAAUAUUCACAAUGGCUGGAGCCUUCUCAAAUCCGCAUCUAUGAGCAAAAUAACUCUUCGCCAGAAGCAUAGCCCUGUUGGAAAUUAUCAAAAAUAUCUCUAUCCCGAGGAUAAUGGGAAGGCUUGUAUGGAACUUUUGAAUUUCUCUCUUCCUACUUUUUGCGAGUGACUAUCAUUAUUGCUAAACAUGAGGGGGGGGGAUUUGGUAUACUGCCUCAUGAUCACCCUAUCCACUUGAAAUGGAUUUUCUAUUCAUUUCCCAUGAUGGUUUUGAUAUCUCGAUUGUUUCAACAAGAAUAUAUUCAUUCGGUAAAGCUUUGUGAAACAUUAGCGAUGGAGCUAGGUCUCGGGUCAUGUGAAAAGACAGUAGGUCAAGAAGUGUGUUAGCUCAUGAGAUAAUAUAUUUUUGAAGUUGUUCAUCAUGUGUGUUGACACAAUGGGUCGUACGAGAGAAGGUUGGCACGAAUCUUUGGGUUUGAAAUGAGCUGUCUAAUUGGACCUUCAUGACUGAAAAAAGGGAGAAAACAUGGCUAAUAGGAGGCGCAAAUGAUAUGGAAGCUACUUUUUGGAUGGAAGUUAACUAUGGCUAUGCGACCACACAAGAUGUCAGUGGAACCG
rnacentral:lncRNA from 1 species